UCAUGGUUGGAGCGUUUGCAAUACUCGUCCUCUCAUACCACCUGUUAUUAUGGAGGUCUGGAGCUGGUAAGAGCAGAAUGGCACCUGAAGCUUCUGGUGCAUGGCCCAUAAUAGGCCACCUGCACCUGUUAGGUGGAUCUAAGAAUUUGCCUCACUUACUUUUUGGAACCAUGGCCGACAAGUAUGGACCAGUAUUCAGCAUCCGGCUGGGAUUAAAAAGAGCUGUGGUUGUGAGUAGUUGGGAAAUGGCCAAAGAAUGCUUCACCACCCAUGACCUGGCUCUGGCCUCCCGUCCUGAGCUUGUGGCCGCCAAAUAUUUGGGAUAUAACUAUGCCAUGUUUGGUUUAUCUCCUCACGGUGCAUACUGGCGUGAAGUGCGUAAGAUAGCCACUCUAGAGCUACUCUCGAACCGCCGGCUAGAGUUGCUGAAGAAUGUCCGAAUCUCAGAGGUGGAGACAUGCAUGAAGGAACUAUACGAGCUUUGGGCAAAGAAGAAAAGCGAAGCAGGCGUUGUUUUGGUGGACAUGAAGCAAUGGUUUGGGCACUUGUCUCUGAACGUGAUUCUUAAGAUGGUUGUUGGAAAACGAUAUUUCGGUUAUGCAGCCGAAAGUAAAGAGAAAGAGGCCCAGCAGUUCCAGAAGGCGAUUAGGGAAUUCUUUCGUUUGAUGGGACUCUUUGUGGUGUCGGAUGCCAUUCCUUUUCUUGGAUGGCUUGACGUGGGUGGACAUGUGAAAGCCAUGAAGAAGACUGCAAAAGAAUUGGACGGUAUUACUCAGGAAUGGUUAGAGGAACACCGACGGCGAAAAGAUUCGGGUGAAGCUGAUGGUGACCAGGACUUCAUGGACGUGAUGCUGUCCAUUCUGGGUGGUAGAGACACUACUGAUUAUGAUGCUGAUACCAUCAACAAAGCUACAUCCCUGGUAUGCACAUUAUUCCUUUAGCAUCUUUAUAUGGUAGUAAAAAAUGAGACAUAAUUUCAUGCUUUAUCAUCUUUAGUCCAGACUCAAGAGUACUUGGGCCUGGGUUGGAAGAACUUCUUAUUUUUGCUUAGUUUCAAGUUGAAACUAAUCAAAAGCAGCGAUUUUUAAAAGGUAAUUAUAAUAGUGGUGUUAUUAAAGGUCAAACAUAAAUAACUUUUUGCAUAAAUCAAAAUAGAGUUUAUAUAUAUAUAUAUAUAUAAAAUAUUUUUCUGAUCUUCAUAUUAAUUUUUCUAAGUCAUAACUUUUUUGAACAAAAUUAGUCAAACCAUAGAACUCUUGAACUUACAGAAAAGGGCUUUCGAUUUCUUAGAAAUAGAUACAUGAAGAGUUUUGUUAUAUGUUUGUUUUUGUCAAAAGAGUAACAUGAGCAGCUUAGACAAGCAAUUAGAAUGAAAUACAACUGGGCUGAGAAGCUGAGUAGAACUAGAAUUAUGUACAACCUCUUGCUAGGAUAAUUGGGUUGGACUUGUAAUGAUAGAGUUCUCCGUUGGAGUUAGGUGGCCCAAAAAGAUUGUGCUGUUUGAAUAGCUGGUCCUCUAAUUUAGGAAGAGGCAGCCGAAUUUGCAACGCUGGGUGGCUGGGCCCAUAGAAAAUAUUCUUGUCAGAAGAUUGUGAAAGUAUGUUCCUUAGUCCGCAAGGUUUGAGGCCUCUUUGAGUGGGCUUCUAGAGUCGGUUAGACAAUUGGGCCUUUCAAAGGAUUUCCUAAAUUUACAAUUUUUUUAGCCCAACAUGAAUUUUUAUAAAAUGCUAUAUUUAUACGUGAGUUUCAUAUUCAAGCUAAACAUACCCAUUUUGAUUGGAAAAAAAGGGAAAGAACAUGGGGCCUUUUUUCCACCCUUAAUCUUAUCACUACUUUUAAUUUUAUUUUAUUAGUUAAUGGUUUGUAUUUCACAGGUUAUGAUUGGAGGAGGCGCUGACACUACAUCUGGUACUUUAACAUGGGCAGUCUCACUUUUAUUGAACAAUCCACACAUAUUAAGAAAAGCUCAAGAAGAAUUGGAUGCUCAUGUUGGUAAAGAAAGACUAGUAAAUGAAAUGGAUAUAAGCAAGUUGGUUUACCUUCAAGCAAUUGUUAAAGAGACAUUGAGGUUAAAUCCAAUAGCCCCACUUUCAGGACCGCGUCAAUUCAUCCAAGAUUCUAUUUUAGGUGGUUACCAUAUCUCAAAAGGCACUCGUCUUAUAUUGAACCUUACCAAGAUUCAAAGAGACCCGAGAGUAUGGUUGAACCCAAUGGAGUUCCAACCAGAUAGAUUCCUCACCACCCACAAAGAUGUUGAUGUUAGAGGUAAACAUUUUGAGUUGACACCAUUUGGUGGUGGAAGAAGAAUUUGCCCUGGAAUAGUUUUUGCCCUUCAAGUGCUACACUUAACAUUAGCCAACUUCCUGCAUAGAUUUCAACUUUCAACUCCAUCAGAUGCACCGGUUGAUAUGAGCGAGGGUUUUGGAUUAACAAACAUCAAAUCCACUCCACUUGAAGUUCUUAUCUCCCCACGCUUAGCUUCUUAUGAUCUUUAUGAGUAGAAUUUGAGGUCGCUAAGAGACUUAUUUCAAAAAACCUAGUACUAUGAAAUGUGAAAUAAAAAUAAAUUUCAUAGCAUAAGUUUAGUAUUAUUUUAAAAUAGUUACUAAUGUCUGUCCUUUAAUAUUGUCUUAGCUUGAAUUUAAUGAAAAAUAUUUUCGACACUUAUUUUGUGUGGACAAGUAAUGACCCAAUUUCUUGUUAUGUUUCUUCAUUCUUCCAUGAAAGAGAAUUUAGAAGAAAAAGUGGCAUAUAGCAUUACAAUUGAAAAAUUAAUAAGCAUGUACUCCAUAUGCAUAGUAGACUUAAUGAGUUUCCAAGUUGAUUAAUUGGUAUCUCCUUUUGAUAGAUUUCAGCCACCUUUUUGUACAUGAUUAAAGUAGUAAUGGAGACUAAAAUUACAACUCCCAUUUCAUUGUAAAAAGUUGGGAUGUGCAAGGUGGGUCAGUUCAAUUUUGGGCAUUAAAAUCAAAUCGAAUUGAACCCAAAAGAGGAAAAUGAUUAGUUUGACUUGAUUAACAAUAAUCUAAGUUGGUUUAUUUUGCUUCUAUUUAUAACAUCAAUUUUUUUUUUUAAUUUGAACGAAAAUAAUAUUAUUGAAGCAAGUCAUCUUUGGACGGUUGAAAUGAUAUUAUUACAACUAAUUUCAAAUCAUAUUAUUAUAACUUAAUGAUGUGAAUAGGUAUUAUUGUAACCCAUGUCAAUCAUAUCAAAUAGUCCAAGUCAUAGAUAAAAGUUAUAAAGGUGUGAUUGGGAGUUCCAUCCAAUGUGAAAAAUGUAUACCCAAUUAAUGAUGUAACCAAUUGUUAUACUGUAUAUUAUUACUGUGUGUAUAACUUUCAAUUCAAUUCAGUUUGGUUCAUUAAUUUUUUUAAUAGGUAAUUGAAUUGGUAUAACUUGGUUUUAUAUUUAAAAAACCAAAUUUAUUAAAAAAUAAAAUCUUAAAAAAUUAAUAGAUUUGGGUCAAUUUCAUUGAUUUUGCCAAUUGUACACCCUAAAAGAAGGGAUGUCCACUUAUCAUCCAUAAACUUUGUGUACUCCUAAGUUACAAUUUUGCCCCAUGUGAUUCACAUUUGUACUUAUUAUACUCAAUUUUCCGUACAAAUGAUUUAUUAUUUUGCAGAAUUUUACUCCAUGAGAUUCACAUUUGUACUUAUUAUUACCAACUUUGUCUGCUCUUAAGUUACAAUUUCUCCUAAUUAGAUUCACAUGCGUUACUGCCAUAAUUGACUUUCCACAUUUAUGCAUGAAUUAUUAUGUCAAUAGAUGCAUUAUCAUUUUGUCAAGUUAAUCUGACUUAGGUUAAUCACCAAAGGCAAGGUGAAUUAAUUGACUCAAUUUUAAUAAAUUUUAAUUUAACUAAGUGCAAGUAAUAAUAAUAAAACAGUUAAAAAAUACAUAAUUAAAUAACUAAAAAGAAGAGAUAACAGGUACAAACUCCGAUUUAUAUUUUGCUCAAUCCCAUACUCUCCUCAAGCUCUCAAAUGCAAAUUGAGGGUUCCACUAGCUUUUAAGACUUCAAUCAAAUCUUAAUCCUUUACACUUGGAUUCUCAAUUUCAAUGAUCUUUUUACACUUUAAUUCAAGAAAUUCCUCACUCUUGAACAUACUCAAAGGUAACACUUGAACAACAUUGAUCUCACAAAAUUUUAUUUACAAAUAAUAUAAAUGAAAACUUAAAUGGUUUUUCUUGGCUAGGAUUUCUAAGUUAAUAAGGAUUUUUGCAUUAAAAAGAAAUAGUUAAAAUCAAUUGGGUUUUGUAAGAUUUUGAUAUAUAUCUUAGUUUGCGAGUUUUUUGGGAUUCUAUUAUAAUCUUAUUGUUUUAUCCUAAAAUUGUCAAAAAAAGAAAUCAGUAAUUUAGUAUGGCAAUUUUACUCCAAAGAUUAUUGAUUAAAAAUUAUUUUACUAAUACCAACGUGUAAGAGUUAAAGGCAUAAAAUUGAAAUUAAAGUAAGUUUAUUAUUUUGGAUUUGGUUAAGUAAUGACAAGAUUAAUAAUUGAAAUUAAUGUAAAAAGAAGUGUAAAAACUUUAAAAGUUUAAAAUAUCAUUUCAUUAUUAAUUAGUUUCCACUUGCCAACAUAGACUUCUCAUUCUAUUCAAACAAGUUUUUUGUACUUUUAUAUAUAUAUAUAUAUAUAUUUCAUAAACUUAACAAAGGAUACAAACAACAAAAGAAAAAAAAAAUUGAGCUACUAAACCUCAAUAUAAAUUUGGGGUGAAUUAUCAAGGUCUAUUAAGGAGCAUGGGGAAGUGUUGUAUCACAUAUCGAUGUGAAGAAGGUGUAUAUAUAUUUAUAGUAUAGGACCUAAGAUGUGAACGUUUCUUUUAAAGUUAGGUAAACAUUUCUUUCAAAAUUAAUGGAAUCUCACUAUGAUUUAUAUACACAUGCUUUCAGUGUCCAUAGAGGUUGAAAUAAUACGAUGAUUUUUAACUUAUAUCUUGCUUUUUAUAUGUGAUUUAAUAUUGUUUUGGAUUAUUGAUUAUGACUCAUGAAUUAUCAUGCAUGGAACUAAUCAAAAUGAUAUAAUUAAAUUAUAUUAAUGAAUUUGAGAUAGACAUGACAAUUAUUAAUUUAAAAUAUCUUAUAUGAACAUAAAAUUUUAAAUAUAGACUCAUAAUUUAUAUAUAUUAAUAUAAUAAAGUUGAAAAACUACGUUUAUCUCAAAUUUAUGCCUAGGGCCCAAAUUUUGCUGAGAGCCAGCCGGAUGUCAUCACAUGCAAGAAAGCUAGGAAACAAAGCUAAAGUUUGCUUCUUGUGUGGGAAGAGGUACUUCCGUGCUUGACUGAAAGAAAGGAUUUUCUACAAGAAAAAUUGUCCCCUUGUUUGUAAAGCCUCAAGUUGCGACAGCAAUAACGACAAAAGUAGGCCAAAGAAUUUGUCAUUAUUAUGAGACUAGAGAGGUUUUACUGAGAAGUUUUCCGAGCGUGAUAUCAGCAUUCGCUGUAUCACAGUGAUACAACAAAUGGUUUGAACACAGUGAUCUAGAACCCAUUAGCUCAAAUUUCAUUGAUCUGAACACGAUGAUCCUCAUCCGCAGACCAUUUUAGGGAAUGAUUAAUUCGAGCGAUUUUUUAACUGCCUGUACGAAGAACUUUAUCAAAAUUGGAUUCAGUGUAUCUUAACCAAUCUUGAUCAGUAUGCGACUGAUGAUUCUAUUUGAUAAAAGUAAUGCGGUGGCCCAACUUUAUCUUAAUUUCUAUGUUGAAAGUAACCAUAUAUUAUUCUAUAAUUAUAAAUAUAUACUGUGGAAUCAAGAUAACUUUGAUAUGCUAAGGAUCAAAAGAGGGCAGCCACUUUAGUAGUGGAUUAUACUAAAUAAAGCUGAUCGAUUAUUACAUUGGAAAAUAACAUUGAACCUAUCAUGAAAGACAACCCUACUGGACCAUGCCCCGAGUACUAAAUGCUGAUAAAAAACAAGUACAUGUUCCAAAGGAAUUGAGUCCAUAUAUACACAUUAGUGCUCAAAGAGAAAAACUAUAUAUCCACCGCUUAACUACAGUGAUCCUUUGAGCAGAAGAAGCUAGCCAUGUAUUUCCUUCUCCAAUACCUAAACAUCACCACGGUCGGAGUCUUUGCCACACUUUUCCUUUCCUACUGUCUAUUAUUAUGGAGGUCUAGAGCUGGUAACAAAAAAAUAGCACCUGAAGCUGCUGCUGCAUGGCCCAUAAUCGGUCACCUACACCUGUUAGCUGGUGGUUCUCAUCAGCUUCCCCACAUAACCUUGGGAAACAUGGCCGACAAAUAUGGACCGGUCUUCACAAUUCGGAUUGGGUUGCAUCGAGCUUUGGUGGUAAGUUCUUGGGAGAUGGCUAAAGAAUGCUCGACCGCCAAUGACCAGGUUUCAUCCUCGCGUCCCGAACUUUUAGCCUCAAAACAUUUGGGCUACAACUACGCCAUGUUUGGUUUCUCUCCAUACGGUUCUUACUGGCGUGAAAUGCGCAAGAUAAUCAGCCUAGAGCUACUCUCUAACAGCCGCUUAGAGCUGCUGAAGGACGUCCGAGCUUCAGAAGUGGUGACAUCCAUAAAAGAGCUAUACAAGCUCUGGGCAGAGAAAAAAAAUGAAUCGGGCCUUGUCUCUGUGGAGAUGAAGCAGUGGUUUGGAGACUUGACUCUGAACGUAAUUCUUAGGAUGGUGGCAGGGAAGCGUUAUUUCAGUGCUUCAGAUGCAAGUGAAAAUAAACAGGCGCAGAGGUGCCGGAGAGUGUUCAGGGAAUUCUUUCAUUUGUCAGGGCUCUUUGCGGUGGCGGACGCUAUUCCAUUUCUUGGAUGGCUCGACUGGGGGAGACAUGAGAAAACCCUAAAGAAGACAGCAAUAGAAAUGGACAGUAUUGCUCAAGAAUGGUUAGAGGAGCACCGUCGGAGGAAAGACUCCGGUGAUGAUAAUAGUACGCAAGACUUCAUGGAUGUGAUGCAGUCAGUUCUUGAUGGCAAAAACCUUGGUGGUUACGACGCUGAUACCAUCAAUAAAGCCACAUGCAUGCCUGGUAUGAGUUAUUAAUGAAGCACCCACGUACCAUUUAUAUUUGCAUAUUAUCAGGGCUAGCUUCUUUUCCACAGACAGUUUUUCUUUUGUUUAUAUGUUUUAAUUGAUGCAUAUUCACUUUCUUCUUCUCUUAAUUAAAUUGCAAUAAUUAAACAUACAAUUUAAAUAAAUUUUAAAUUUUAUUUUUAACUAAAAACAAAAGUAUACAUAUACAAAUAUAUAUUGCUUAAGCAAUUAAUUUUUAAAAAUUAUUCUUUCAGAACACCUUAGACAAGUUGAGACAUGCUUCGAGGGAAAUCUAAAUAUAAUGAUUUUAAAAGCUACUUUGUAAUUUUAUUUUCGAGCAUGUUGCAUAAUAUAUGCUUUCCUUGAAUUGAUUUUCUAAAUUUUAUUUUUGUCAGCAAGAAAGGGUUAUCUACGUUUUGGAAGUUAUCUUUAAUUUCCCCUGCAAAGAAUAAGUGUGUGGACCCUGCAUUUCGGCUCAAUGCGUUUCCCACUCGAUGGCGAGCUCGAUUUUUAUUUGAAAAAUGAUUUUUAUUGAUUAUUUAGAAAAUGACUUGGAGUCGCCACUUAUUUUUGUUUUAUUUUUAAAGGGUAAACAAAAUAAGAAAGAAAAACCCUAAGUGUGACUCCUUAUUUUGGAAAAGGUGGUCUGUGAAAAACUGAAUCGGGUUCAGGGGUCAGGUUACUUAUUGGGAAGGUACGGUAUGGACCGUAGCACCCCUCUAAGUCCCUAAAGUCGGGUCUCUACUAAUGAGAUGAAGCUGACAUGGCAAUCAAUGAGAAAAUCAAUGAAUACUCGAAUCAAUCAUGCACAUAUGAGAGACAAAGCAUGUAUAAAGAAUGAGCAAAAUAUGAAUAGAUGCGUACCUGGGCGACAAUCACGAAUGCGCUAUCAUGAAACAUGGUUAGUGAACAAUAAACAUAUAUAAUUAAGCGCAUAUCAAGGAAUAGAGUAAAUCAAUCAUGCAUGACAAAUAAAUCAAUCAAUCAUGGAAUCUCAUAUGUAGGGCCCCCACCAAAACCCAAUUCAUUUUUGCAUGAAUCAAUUCCAUAAAUUCCAUCACUUGGAAUUACGGAAUUUAAUUCUUACUUAUUUUUAAAACAUUUUAAAAACCAAGAAAAUGCACAAGUGGCUUGCCGGAAGGAAAAUGGCAACCAAAUUUUAUUGAAAAUGGGAUUUAAGAAGAUUAUUUUCAAGAAAACAGGGGAUGAGAGAAUAGAAGGAAAUGGCACAUGGUCAAGAGCUGCAUGCCUAAGGUGGCCAUGCAAAAACACUUCCCUCUAAGCUCAGGGUGGAGGGACUGCACUAUAAGGAUCAGUGGUGCUGCAGAGCUUGUCAGAACAGCUGAUGGCAUCAUAGGUGUUGCUCCUGAUUGCCUGAAAGAAUUCAUCUCUAAUGGACGGAAUCGAUUGCUCUACAUGAUUAUUCCAGAAGGUAAUGGUUGAGUCCUUAGCUUCACGAACCCAAUUUUUUAUGUCAUUACUUCCCAUCAAACUACCAUGACAUAGGAGCCACACUGAGCAAACUGAUGAGCCCGCUGCCCCACAUGUAUAGGGAAUCCAGUACAAAGUUAAUUUCCGCGGUUUACGAUGUUCGGAAACAAGGAUACUUAGGUAAGAAUCCAGCUUAUACAUGAUAAAUCACGNNNNNNNNNNNNNNNNNNNNNNNNNNNNNNNNNNNNNNNNNNNNNNNNNNNNNNNNNNNNNNNNNNNNNNNNNNNNNNNNNNNNNNNNNNNNNNNNNNNNGUGGAUGCCGCCUAUGAUACUAGCCUCAGAAAUCAUGCCAUUGACAUCGUUGUGCUUGUUACUAUUGCCAUCUCUAUCUCACAUGUGAGAGCCCUUGAUGGAAUCAAUUAAAAUAAUCCUUGAUAGAAACGUGGACUUCAUGUCUCAAAUCUGGCCUUUCAUAUCUCCUCAUUUGUCCAUGUCAACUAUUGUCACCAAGCCAUAAGCCUCUUGAUCCCAUGAUAACCCCAUUAUUCAACCCAAUACUUCAAUGAUGAUUCUCUUUCAUUUGCAUUCCUGACCUUCUCUUAUCUCCAUUACUGAUCCCAUGGAUGUUUACAGGAUUGAGUAUUUGGACGAGAGCAAACUUUGAUUAGAACCCUGUAUCAUGUUGAGUCUCUGCCAGCCUGGAAGGAUAAAAAUCACGUUGCCCCAUAUGGUGAGUUUUACUUUGAUUUACUCUUCCUCCUUGAUUCGUAUAAUGCAAGAAGGACAGGAGUUAAAAUGUCACGGAUAGCAUGAUGGCAAUGCCCAAAAGUAGCGUCAGUGUACAUUUGAGUCAAACGCGACUCCAUAUCAAACAUUGGCGGCCAGCGUCCAAGUCAAAGGGACGUAGUGCCCAUAAUUCACUGUUGAUAUUCUUCUUUCUGGGGAUGGAACAGAUCCAACUUCAAGGAUUGGGUGAGUCUCCUAAGAACUUUUCAUAAGGAUGGAUGACUGCCCAACAAUGCACUCAGGUUCCAUCAUUGCAAAGCCUCAACAGACUGCAUGCACCAUUCGUCGCGUACCUCACGACAAAUGUGAGUCUGGUUAAUCCCGUAGGAGGACUCCAAGCAGCAUGCAUAACGUACCUCUUCGGAAUAUCACAACGAGACCCACUGGUGCCCUCGUCUGAAUACCCCUCCGCCUCUCAUUCAAGUAAUGGGUGUUGGACCCAUGUAUGCAUGCAAAGAUGGAGGAGUGAAGUGGUGAGAGAAAGGAUGUAUGGAUUUAGCUGCGAGUAAGGUCACGGGUAUGGGAGGAUGGAUGCGGUGAAGACCUUUGAGGGUGAUGAAAAAUGGUGCAUGGAGUAAGAUAGGCUAAAGUGGAAAUGCGUGGUAGAAUGGGCAUAGGAGUAUCAUGAGAGAAGUGUGCAGGGACUACAUGCAUGUGGGUGGCUAGGGAAGUAAAAGAUGGGUUCAACAGUGAAACGUAUGGGAAUGAUGAGAGGGAAAGCGGAUUAGCAGAUGGGGUUAAUGAGUGAUAUGAAGAAUGGGGUAUGAGACCUGGGUAUAAGGUGAAAUGAAUAUGACAUGGUUAUGCAUGGCCAUGCCAUGGCCAUGCAAGAACAUGAUGGAAAGGGAGUGACGGAUGUAUGAAUAAUGGAGAGCAUGAGGAGGUAUGGGAUAGAUGAACAGGGCUGGAUGGUGGAUGAUGAAUAAGUAAUGGUGAAAUGGGUAUGAAAGAGUUUGAAGAGAGAGAAAAGGUGGUAAUGUGGAAUGGGUUUGAUAGGUGGGAGUACAAAGUGGGUAUGAAGAUGGGUAUGAAUGGUUUAGUAGGUACGAGACAAAUGGGUUAGAUGGAGGGUAUAAUGGGUGAUGUAAUGAUGGAAACCCGGGCGUUUAUUCAUCUUUGGAGGCACGAUACCCGGGUCAUGAACAGAUGGAUCACACUUCUUGGCCAGCUGCAUUCAGGCCAUAGUCAAUACAACCGACUUCGCUACCUCCAUUUCCAGGCACAGUGAUUGACACAAAGGAAGGUAACUUCCCAAUAAUCAAGCUUCUUUCGAUACAAGGUCUGCAUGGCUUAGCCGAGUUCAGUUUAGUUGGGUGUCGAAUCCCAUUGGUCAGUAGACCCAUUUGGAGCGAAACUGAACCCUUUAAUCCAAAUGGACCGUUACAGAGAGCACAAAGCAGCAGUAGGAUUAGCAAGACCCAGAGCAUAAGAGCGGGCUGUGACCAUGGCAGAGAUUCCAAAUUAGAAAGCAAGCACAAAACCAUCCAUGGAAGAGGUUAUCCAAGGUUUUGGAUGCUUAUGAAGUUUUCCCGCAAGUUGAACGAAUCUGUAACAGAGUGCCUUCUGAUCUAACCUGCAUAGUUUCAACAUGUACCACACCAUCCCCAUUCACGGUACCUCCAAUCACUAUGUCACCCUUCUUUCUUCGCCAUAGGCCUAGCAUCCUCUGUGAGCAUGUUCUUGAACCCACAAUCUCCCGCUUUACCUCAUGGAAACAUGUCAACCAAAAUAGCCCACCCAUCAAGUGACUGAUUCAACUCUGAUACCCGACAUCUCAGAUGCACCAACAACAGAAGCACAAAAGGGUAGGAAAUGGGGCCAAAACAGAAAAGAACGAAGGAAGGAUAAACGAGGAAUAAAGUAAAACAUAAGUGUAUAGAGCCUCAUUUCAGGUGACAUCCAUGGGCUUAUACAAGUGAGGAGAUCUCAAGUUAGAGUUACAGAAUAUAUGAGGAACCGAGUUCUAUUAACUCCAAGCCAAACCACAAGAACAGCAGUAAAAUCAACAACAAUAGAGUAUAAAAACGAUCCAGAAAUCAACAAAAUUCAGUACGUAUGACCCAACUCAAAUUGAUGAGCAAUGCAGAGCAAACCAAAAUGAGAAAAGGGUGAGAAAAAUAUGAAUCAAAGUAAGCAAGAAACUCACCUCAAACUCACCUGCAGACGCUCCUCUCUCUAUUCCUUCAUUCUCUAAGCUUCAGCUAGCCAAAAACAACGCCCAGAAUCUCCGUCACACAGCCACCCAAAACCUCCUCCUCUGCAGCCUCGAACCUCUCUGCCAACAAACAGCAACCAAAAGCACCUCCCCCUCUCGGAAACUUCUUUCUCCCUAAAAAAAAACUCUCAGACCAGCCUCUCUAAAGCUCCCCCUCUCUCAAGUUCACCGUCCAAAAUUACUCCUCUCAUGGAAAAACUCCCUGGAAUCCCCUCAGCAGCCCCGGUACCUCCAGCUAAAAGAAAAUCACCCCCCCCGGUUCUCAUGUCUCUCUCACCUUUUUUUCUCUCUAGCCAAAACCAGCUUUCUUUUCCUCCCUUUGGAAAUAUCUCCCUAACGGCCAGACGACACCCACCUGCCUUGCAGCUGCAAGCCUCCACUCCCCCCUAUGCAGCUGGCAGCCUCCCAAAAUCAACCCAACAAAAGCUCUUCCCCUAAAGAUUUCUGCCACCUUCCUCUUCUAGGCAAUAUCUCUUUUCUGUCCCGGAUUUGCCCCUCCAACAAUCCCUGUAGCCACCUCCAGCACCACUACACUCUGCAUGCAACUGGCAACACCUCCUAACGGAAAGCACGCUCCCUUCUUCUAGAAUGUUCUUCACUUUCCAGGUGUCUUCCUCUUAUUAGUCCAUCAAUUCCACCAUAGUGAUUCCACUAGUAGCCAACCCGAGAGUGACACGUGGCCAUGCGAGAUGGUGACACUUGUCCAGCAUCAGCUGCAAGAAUGACUCCCAAAAUGGGGGUCUACAACUAUGCCCAUUUUCGGUAGAGUUCACAAGUGUAAGGAAAAUGAACACUGGAAUGAAAGGUAGGUGUGAAUAGUGAGUGGAAUGAAGUGAACUCUACCGAAGAACCAAGGAGACCCCCAUAGGGACACUAGCAAAACACGAAUUCGCUCAGGCUGACAGACUGACACAAAGGCUCUGAUCCUAAAACAAAAUGAUGUCUCAAAAUGCCUCUGAGGCCAUACUAAGGAUCCAAGCUCCCUUUAACAUGCCUCCAAAAGUGACCCGAAGAUCGAUGUCAAAAGUGAGUAACGGUCGAACCACCCUGGAGUACGAACAAGAAUGCGUCUAAAGGAGACUGCCCUAUGUGGACUAUGAGAUGAAUAGGUGAUAAGCACAGGGUAACGAGGUGAGAAGAGUGAGAAUAAGUGCAAAUCCAUGAAGGUGAGAUGCGCAAUGCCAGUGAAUAUGAACGCUAGGGGCUGCGACUCUGAAUGACGAGACUGACCCUAAACGCUAAACUGAGAAAAACAAUGGCUCUGGAAGCCAGACCAAAAACUAACUCUAAAAACUAAACUAGAAUAACAGCUCUGGAAGUCAACCAAAAACUAACUCUAAAAGCUAAACUAGAAAACAACAGCUCUGGAAGCCAACCAAAAACUAACUCUAAAAACUAAACUAGAAAAUAACAGCUCUGGAAGCCAACCAAAAACUAACCCUAAAAGCUAAACUAGAAAACAAACAGCUCUGGAAGCCAACCAAAAACUAACUCUAAACUAGAAAAUAAUAGCUCUGGAAGCCAAACUGAAAACUAACUCUAAAAGCUAAACUAGAAAACAACAGCUCUGGAAGCCAAACCAAAAACUAACUCUAAAAACUAAACUAGAAAAUAACAGCUCUGGAAGCCAACCAAAAACUAACCCUAAAAGCUAAACUAGAAAGUAACAAACAGCUCUGGAAGCCAACCAAAAAACUAACUCUAAAAACUAAACUAGAAAAUAACAGCUCUGGAAGCCUAAACAAGUCGACAGUAACGACUCUGGAAGCCUAAACAAGAUGAUAGUAAUGGCUUUGGAAGCCUAAACAAGAUGACGGUAACGACUCUGGAAGCCUAAACAAGAUGAUAGUAAUGGCUCUGGAAGCCUAAAUAAGAUGACGGUAAUGGCUCGGAAGCCUAAACAAGAUGACAGUAACGACUCUGGAAGCCUAAACAAGAUGAUAGUAAUGGCUCUGGAAGCAUAAACAAGAUGACAGUAAUGACUCUGGAAGCAUAAACAAGAUGACAGUAAUGGCUCUGGAAGCAUAAACAAGAUGACAGUAACGACUCUGGAAGCCUAAACAAGAUGAUAGUAAUGGCUCUAGAAGCCUAAACAAGAUGAUAGUAAUGACUCUAGAAGCCUAAACAAGAUGAUAGUAACGACUCUGGACGUCGAAACUAAAAAGUGAUGAUGAUGACUCUGAACGUCAAACUGAGAAGUGAUAACGACUCUGAACGCCAAAACCGAGGAUGCGACUCUGAAUGUCGAUCUGAAAACCGAUGAUGGCUCUGAACGCCUAAACUGAGAAAUGAUGAUGAUGACUCUGAACGUCAAACUGAGAAGUGAUAACGACUCUGAACGCCGAAACCGAGGAUGCGACUCUGAAUGUCGAUCUGAAAACCGAUGAUGGCUCUGAACGCCGAAACUGAGAAGUGAUGAUGAUGACUCUGAACGUCAAACUGAGAAGUGAUAACGACUCUGAACGCCGAAACUGAGGACGCGACUCUGAAUGUCGAUCUGAAAACCGAUGAUGGCUCUGCACGCCGUAACUGAGAAGUGAUGAUGAUGACUCUGAACGUCAAACUGAGAAGCAAUGAUGAUGACUCUGAACGUCAAACUGAGAAAGUGAUAACGACUCUGAACGCCGAAACCGAGGAUGCGACUCUGAAUGUCGAUCUGAAAACCGAUGAUGGCUCUGCACGCCGUAACUAAGAAGUGAUGAUGAUGACUCUGAACGUCAAACUGAGAAGCAAUGAUGAUGACUCUGAACGUCAAACUGAGAAAGUGAUAACGACUCUGAACGCCGAAAUCGAGGAUGCGACUCUGAAUGUCGAUCUGAAAACCGAUGAUAGCUCUGAAUGCCGAAACUGAGAAGUGAUGAUGAUGACUCUGAACGUCAAACUGAGAAGUGGCUCUGAACGCCGAACUGAAAAAUGUGACAUGAUGACUCUGAAUGUCGUAAACCGUGAAUGAACGGCGACUCUGAACGCCAGACUGCAAGGAAACAAUGUGGGGGAAAUAUGCCCCAGUGUGACAUGCCGCUGCAAAUCUCAAACUGCUAGAAAUGGCUAAAAGGGACUCUACGAGUCUCGAAAGACGCACCACUAAGAGCUCAUGUCAAUGAAGAGCUCAGGAACAACGGUCAGUGAGGCGAAUACAAUAUAUCUCGGCCGAGUGAUGGAAACCGCGACGGACAUGUGAGAGAACGAUCGCCUCCAUGGCUAAAUGAGGGAAAUACGCCCCAGUAUGGCAUCAGAUGUACCCGAUCUGCCCUGAUGACCCGAGAAUAACACCAUGGGGAUGCAUAAAAGACCUGAUGUGUACCGCACUGAAAUGAUGACAUGGGGAUCCAAGCACUCGACAUAACCCCAUCCAGGAAUCACGACUAUAUCAAAGAGUAUGAAUCUGGCUGAACGAGUCAAGAGAGGCUCCUCGGAGUAUCAGGACAAAAUGAAAUCAAUCAUCAACCUGGCGUGUAUCUCAUAACUGUGGAUGAUCAUGUAAACCAGUGGGGAUCUAUAAAUCUCGAUCAAGAUGGGGAAUAUGCCCCAGUGUGGCAUCGGAAAUGUAACAUGUCGAAAAAUCAGCUGAGCUCAAAUCAUCUAUGCCUGCAACUAGCUAGAUGGCUCUCGAUAGGCUCCACUAAGGAAUCAUCGCGAGGAUAGCGAAUAUAUCAUCAUCCCUGUAUACAUCUCGCAAAUAAGGAUAAGCACGCAACUUCCUCAUGAUCUGUAAAUCUCAUCCGAACGGAAAUAUGCCCCUGUAUGGCAUCGAAAUGUAGGAUAGGUCGGAGAUCAGAUAGCAUGGAAUCAUCUAUCUUAGAACAUGUGACCUCUGCGAAAAUCCAUAAAGAUCCUCCGAAACGGAAUAUGCCCCAGUAUGGCAUCUGACGUGCGACAAACCAGGAAAAACAGGUGACAUCGAAUCAUCCCUCAUCAAACACGUGAUCCUGGUAAUCCAAACACGGUCGAAACGGAUCUAAACAUCUGAGAAGUGUUUCUCAGAAGAAGAUGCAUGGCAAAUAUCUGGAUGUCAACUGAAUCUCAAACACCUGUCCACAUAGAAGCCGUAGAAGACGAUAUCUGAUCCCAUGGCCUCAGGGUGGUCUUAAGACACAGGACGUAAUGUAGGCUAGGGUGAUAGGGUGAUAGAAACGAAGGGAAACUAAGCUCAAAUACCCAAUGAUCAAAACCCAUGCCCUCGUGUGUGAAAUGCAACAUGUACAGAAAAUCCUGUGAGCCCUGGACCUGAGGGUGUCUAAUGUGAAUAUGAUGUCAAUGAGGAAACAAGUGAAGCAAAUCAAACUGAUAAUGAGAUAUGUAAUGGUGAUACGAAGGGAAUAUCAAACCCGAGAUGGGUCUGGUAAGAAAAGAAUGAGAAGUGAAGUGAGAAUGACGAAUCAGAAGCGAAAACGAGGACGAUGAUAAUGAAGCGAAUAACAUCAAAAGGAGUGAUGAUCAACUCAGAUCAGACAUGGAGUGAUGUCACAUCAACUACGAACAUAAUGAUGGAACGUACAAUAACGCAGAGCUCCUAAGAGAAAGUCACUCAUCUCGCUCACAAAAUAUGCAACAAAAUGAAUACAAAGCCUGAGGGAUCCAGGGAAGCUCACAUACGAACUCCCGUCAACAAACAUACUCGAUCAAGUGACCCUCGAAUAUCAAUACAUACACUCAGUGAUGGAUAACAAAACACACUUGAUUUUUAUUUCUUUUUCCAUUUUUUUUUUUUCAUUUUUUUCAUUCAUUUUUUUUUUUUUUUACAACAUAUAAAUGAACUGUACAUGAUCUGAAUGCAUACAAAGAAGACCCAAAGACGGGAUCAAAAAUGAAUAAACAUGCCCUCAAAUAUCAAUAUAUCACAAACUCAAUCUAAUGAGAUGAGGUGACCUUCUCAAACUGAGGAUCCCUGGAUCAGUGUCCGUGGGAUAGAUAGUGGAAAUGGCGUGACUACCCUCCAUGUGAUGAAAUGAGGAGGAUCACCCCUCGGGGUGAAAGAAGAUGACAUGAAACGAAUAGUAGAUAAGAUAAAGAAAAUAUGAUGAAUAACACGAACAGUGAGAUGAGAUGAAAUGCAAUGAUGCAGUGGUGAGCACAGAUAAUGAGAAGAACGUGCCCCUAGGUCCAAGGCUCAUGAAACUCUCAAACAAUGCAUGCAUACACUAAAGGGCCCCAAUCCCGGUGUGAAAAUGUGAGCAAGGCUAUAGAAAAUGAAGGCUAUGAUGCGCGUGUGAGGCUCAAAUGGGCUAGCAAUGGACUAUAUAUAUCAGAAACGGGAUAAAGGGAUAUAGCUAACCGAAAUGAUGGCCACCCAUCCUGCGACCAUGGACUCAAACGUAGUACCUCUUUAGCUGAUCCACAUUGGUCGGCUCUGAGAACUGGUUUCCAUCUAAAUCCAUCAGCCAUGCAGCGCCCUCUGGAGUCAACUUCCUGAUGAAAUAAGGUCCGCUCCAACUAGGUCUGAACUUCCCUCUAGGAUCUCUGAUCAAUCCUCUGAUGACUCUCAAAACUAAGUCACCUACAUGCAGUGGUCUAGGCUUGACCUGCUUUUUGAAAGCGCGGGCCAUCUUCCUCUGAUAUGCACGAACGUGGUCUGCUGCUCUCAAUCUCCUCUCAUCUAGGAGAUUGAGCUGAUCAAAUCGAGCCUGAGCCCAAUCCGUCUGGGGAAUCUGCUGCUCUAGUGCUACUCUCAAUGAUCCCAUCUCAAUCUCAACAGGUAGCACUGCCUCCAUGCCGUACACCAAUGAAUAGGGUGUGGCUCCUGUAAAGGUGCGAAAAGAAGUCCGAUAUGCCCACAAUGCGAAAGGGAGCUUCUCUGACCAAUCCCGAGAAGUCUCAACCAUCUUUCGCAAUAUCCUCUUAAUAUUCUUAUUCGCGGCCUCUACUGCCCCAUUCGUCUGCGGCCUGUACGCAGACGAUCUAUGAUGCCGGAUGCCGUAUCUCUGCACCAAGGUGUCAACCUCUGCUCUGAAAUGCACCCCUCUGUCUGAAAUAAGCUCGUGAGGGACUCCAUAGCGACAAAUGAUGUGCGAUCUAAUGAAACUGACAACUCCAGAUGACGUCAAUCUCGCAUACGAGGCGACCUCCACCCACUUGGUGAAGUAAUCAAUAGCAACAAGGAUAAACUCAUGACCACUGGAAGAUUUCGGUGAAAUCUUCUCGAUGAUAUCGAUACCCCAUACUGAAAACGGCCAUGGUGAAGUCAAUGCAUGCAACUCCGAGGGCGGCACGUGAAUGAGAUCUCCAUGUAUCUGACACUCGGGACAUCUCUGAACGAACUGGCAACAAUCUGUCUCCAUGGUCAACCAAAAGUAUCCUGUCCUCAUGAUCUUACGGGCCAACAUAUGCCCCCCAUAUGUGGUUCGCAGACUCCCGCAUGAACCUCUCGCAUAACUCUAUCGGCAGAAGCGCGAUCCAAACAUAAUAGCAGUAUCCCAUCAAAUGAUCGUCUAUAUAGCGUCUCGCCACAAAUCACGAAUCGGGUGGCCAACUGUCUCAAUGCCCUCCUAUCCUUGGCCGUGGCGGCCUCAGGAUAUAUGCCGAGUCUCAAAAAGUGAUAUAUGUCAUGAUACCAGGGCAAACCAUCGUCUAUCUCCAUAUCAUCAAUCAAACAACAAUACGCAGGAGCAGAUCUCGACUCAAUCAACAAAGGGCGAACAGUGGCAUCAGCGGGAAUGUCGAUCAUGGAAGCUAGAGUAGCUAAAGCAUCAGCAAACUGGUUUUGCGCUCUAGGCAGAUGUGUAUAUCUCAAAUCCUCAAAUCUCGCGACCAGUAGCUCCAAAUACGCGUGGUAAGGCCUAAGCUUCACAUCUCUAGUCUUCCACUCGCCUUGAAUCUGUCUCAAUACCAGAUUGGAGUCACUAAACACCUCCAUCUGUCUAAUCCCAAGCUCGAGGGCUGUCUCUAACCCCAAGAUACAUGUCUCAUACUCAACAAUGUUGUUCGUGGCUGGAUGUCGAUCCGAGAAUGCCAAACGAACAGAUCUGGGAAUGUGAUCACCAUGAGGGGAUAUCAACAAAACGCCUAUCCCGUAUCCAGAAUGGUUGGCUGCACCAUCAAAGUACAUGCGCCAACCCGACAGACUAGUCGCAGCUGCGACGUCCUCGUCUGGAAAAUCAUCGUCAAUAGCUCUGGCAUCAGAAACUGGUAAUGAGGCUAAGUGAUCUGCGACAAUGCUCCCUCUGAUGGACUUCUGAGUGACAUAAUGAAUGUCAAACUCAGUCAGAAGUACCAGCCAUCUCAUAAGGCGACCAACUAGAGCGGGCCUGUCAAACAAAUAUCUCAAAGGAUCAAGACGAGAUAUCAAAUGCACUGAAUACUCGGUCAUGUAAUGUCUCAAUCGGCGAGUGGCCCAAACCAAUGCCAAGCAGUAGCGCUCAAUCGUGACGUAUCUCGUCUCGUAAUCUAGCAUCCUCUUGCUCAGAUAAUAAAUGGCUCGAUCUUUGCCCGAAUCAUCGAGCUGAGCUAACAUGCAACCUAAAGCCACAUCCGAAACUGAUAGGUAUAGGAGUAGAGGAUGGUCUGGUGUAGGCGGAGCCAAAACUGGAGGCGACAACAAGUACUCUCGGAUCCUCUCAAAUGCGCGCUGACACUGAUCAUCCCAAACAGUAGGUUGACUCUUCCUCAAGAGUCGGAAAAUGGGCUCACAAAUGUCUGUCAAUCUGGCUAUGAAUCUACUGAUGUACUGAAGUCUGCCCAGGAAGCCUCUGACCUCUCUCUCUGUCCUCGGUGCAGGCAUGUCAAGGAUGGCUCUAAUCUUGUCCGGAUCUACCUCUAUGCCUCGCUCACUGACCAUGUACCCCAAGAGUUUCCCAGAAGUCACUCCAAAAGUGCACUUCUUGGGAUUCAGCCUCAAUCUAAAUUGUCUGAUCCUCUCAAAGAACCUCUCAAGAGCUGCCAAGUGAUCUGAUCUAUCUCGGGAUUUCACUAUCAUGUCGUCUACAUAAACCUCGACAUCCCGAUGCAUCAUGUCAUGGAAGAGUGUGGUCGCUGCUCUCUGAUAGGUGGCUCCUGCGUUCUUCAAUCCGAAUGGCAUGACUCUAUAGCAAUAAGUACCCCACUCGGUAAUGAAGGACGUCUUCUCCAUGUCCUCUGGAGCCAUCAAGAUCUGACUAUACCCGGAAAAUCCGUCCAUAAAGGACAACAUCGAGUGACCUGCUGUACUGUCAACUAACAUGUCGAUGUGUGGGAGAGGAAAAUCAUCUUUAGGACUGGCCUUGUUGAGAUCUCGGAAAUCAACACAGACUCUCACCUUGCCGUCUUUUUUGGGAACAGGGACGACAUUGGCCAGCCACUCUGGGUACUCGACUACUGAUAGAAAUCCUACACUGAGCUGCUUCUGAAUCUCCUUUUUCACCUGCAAGCUCCAACGAGGGUGCAAUCGUCUCAACCUCUGCUUAACCGGUCUGGCAUGGGGCAGAAGUGGCAAACGAUGCUGGACGAUGGAUGGAUCAAGGCCCGGCAUGUCCUCAUAGGACCAUGCGAAAACGUCCAAGUAGGAUCUGAGCAGCUGGAUGAGACUAUCUCUCUCAUCUGAGGAUAAAUCUGACCCGAUCCUCAACUCCCUAGGCUGAUCUGCGGUGCCGAAAUCAACAAUCUAUGUGUCUCCUACAGCAGGUGAAACCCUCUGAUCAACGGGAUCCGAAUCGGAAACAGAAGAUGAGUCAUCAUCUGAGUCGUGCUGUGCAAUCUCAUCAUCAAUAUCAAAAAUCUGUGAUGUGGGUGAAGAUGGUGCAGAUAAAUCAAUAUCACAAGAGACAGGCAGGUACUAAAAAAUGCUCAAAUCCAUAGAUGAAACAUCGGAAACAAUGUCAGAACGGGAGACAAACCCCGACUGAACGUCAAAUGAAAGAGGUGGGUCCACAAAGUCGGACGCUUCCUCAACAAUGCCAACAUGGCUAUCAAUCAAAUCAUAAAAAACUAUAGCAUCCUUAGUAAUCUCCAGAGCAGGGGCUGUCUGGAUCUCCUCAACGAUCUCGAUGAAAGACACCCCGAAAAGAUCGAAUGGUGAAGUGAGCCCAGGAUGAACUCUCUCCUCGAUCGGGCCCAGGCUCAGGGCGAGCAUCUCGUCGAUGUACUCGUCGUGUGGGACGGCUCCGUCCACUAUGUCUCCGACCCCAGCAAAGGUCUCAUGCUCAUCGGUCUCGUCCGGGAAGCAAAGCGUUAUAAGGCUCGUGCGAUCUGGAGACGAAGGAGCAAUCAACACAGAAGUCGAAGAGCCAGGAGCUCCAUCUCUCAAUCGUAACUGAUGGACAAGGCGCUGAAGCUCGACCUCCUGAGUGGUGCUAAGUCCUCCAAUGAUCACGUCCGCACGGGUCAAUGGCUCUGAUGCCCUCACAAAAUAAUCAGAUAAGCUCCUGGUGUAUGGGCGAAGAGGAUAGUAGAAAGGUGUGUGGGUCAGUCACUCUCUCCUUGCGCAAACGCGCCAUGUAGAGAUAAUCGGCCUCAAUGGGGAUGAACCCGAGUCCGAACGGUACGUCGUGAUCAGGGAUGGCUAUGAACUCGCUCGGUCCAUGCUGACAUCGACCCAACCCCAUGCCGGGUAGAUAGGACAUGCUUCGCAUAAUAUCGAGCACCACUGUGCUCCCAUGCCGGUCAAAGGACAUGGCCACAAAAUCCCGGCAGAAAUCCUCUAUCUCCACAGUCUGCACCUCAUCGAAGGUGAAUUCAGUCAGAAAAAGAUCGUCAUCAGUGUGACUAAUCUCGAGCACAGGCUCGGCAACAAUGAACAUGUCUCCCACAGACUGUACCACGACGACCUGACCAUCGUGAAUAAACUUCACCUUCUGAUGAAGGGAAGAAGGAAUGGCCCCGGCUCUAUGGAUCCAUGGUCGGCCCAGAAGCAGGUUAAAGGAUGUAGGAAUCCUCAAAACCUGGAAUACAGCGACAAAAGUGGCCGGACCGAUCAGCAACUCGAUCUCCAAUGUACCCAUGACCUCUCUACGGGUGCUAUCAUAAGCUCGGACGGUCUGAGUGGAGGGACCGAAAUCAGAAGGAGCGUAUCCAAGGGCGAUGGCAGUGGCAAGAGGACAUACGUUCAGGGCCGAGCCAUUGUCCAAAAGGACAGAUGGGACUCGGCGGCCUGAACAGCCAACAGAUAUGUAGAGCGGACGAGUGUGGUCCGAGCCCUCCGGUGGCAAGUCAUCAUCGGAAAAGACGAUACAAGUGGCUCUGCCAGCCGUCAUCAUAUGAAGGAGUCCCUCGGGAGUGGUCGUGGUAUCAACUCUGAUCUGGCUCAGAGCUCGAGUCAGUGCGUCCCGAUGGGUACUGGAAGACGCUAAAAGGCUCCAGAUAGAAAUACGAGCCUGAGUGCUCUGCAACUGCCUCAAAAUCUCGUCAUCCUCUGCUCUCACCUCCUCCUGGGAUGACGUACCCCCUAAGGGUCUAGCGGGAGCGGCUGGAGGUGGCUGUCUCACUACUCUCCCUCCCCGGAGGAUAUACUAAACGUCCGGAGUCUGAGGAUCAUCACUAUGUGGAGCCUGAACCUCCUCAACAUCUGGGAUCAGAAUGUACGGCGCCUGAACGCUAUAGCGUGUGAAUGUCAGAGGCUCGGAAGUGGCCGCCUGUACAGAUGCUGCCUCAGGAACUAAUCGGAAUGGAGCAGGCAUCUGUGGCUCUAGAGUCACCCCACUCGUCUCGUAAAUCACAGCUGGCAUGAUAGGCUCUGGGUCUGGAUCAUCCCAACUCAACAUAUGGACAUGAUCAUCAGUCUCAUCGAAGUCCAAGAAAUGAAUACCACAAGCUGGUGGAGGAACUGCAUGUGUGGUGUGGGUCGGCAACGGGUUUGUGGUCACACUCGGCUGACCCAAGUGUACCAAACCCUGGUCUAUCAGAUCCUGAAUAGCGUGCCUCAGAGCGGUGCAUCGAUCGGUCUCAUGUCUAGGCCCCUGAUGAUAAGCACAGUGUAAAUCCAUCCUGAACUGAGCUGGAAUAGGCUGAGGUAGUGGCCGAGGGGUGAGAGCAGUCAAUAAACCAGCCUCCGUAAGCUUCCGAAGAGCCUGGCUCAACGGCAUGCCUAUCUGCGAGAACUGCCUCUGCGUCCUCAAAGUAAACGGAGCAGAAGUCUGCUGGGCUCCAGGUCGGGGAUAAGGCGCCGCAGGUCUCGCGGUGAACUGAGCAGCGUAGCAUGGCUGCCCUGUGGCUGUGUAGGAGACCGCGGGUCUCUCAAUGCCCUGAGUGGCAUAAGAAGGUAAAACCAAUGUCUGUGGCAUGUGUGUCUGAUCGUAAGCCGGACGAGGUGCCCGUGGCCUGUACUGAUGAGAUGCAUAGGAAGAAUGAGGCUCGAAAAACUGUGGGAUCGGCUGAUGGCGUCUAAGAGGCCUCUGACUGGAUGAACUGAUAGCACCAACCUCUGUCGGUCUCGGUCCUACGAAUAGUUUCUUCCCCUUAACAUCACUAGGGGAAGAAUCUGCCCAUAAACCUCUCGUGAUGCCGUCCUCGACAUCAUACAAAGCCAUAACCAGAGACCCAAAAUCUGUGAACGGGACCCCGACCACAUGUCUGGCGAUCCCCGGCUGUAGGCUCCUCAAAACCAUCUGAAUCUAGUCUCUCUCUGAUGGUCUAUCCACUAUCUCAGCUAUCUUCCCGCGCCAGCGGGAAAUGAAAGAAGAAACGGACUCCUCUGUCCUCUGCCUUAGAGCCUCGAGCUCUCUCCUCGAUACAUCUACAACAGUGUUAAACGAAAACUGUCGUAGGAACUCCUGGGCCAAGUCAUCCCAUGUACGGCGUCUCGAGGACUCCAGAGACGCAAACCAGCGCUGAGCUGCCCCACUCAGAGAUAGGGGGAAAAGAGUGAUCAUUUGAGGCUCGUCCAGUCCAUGAGCCCUCAUCACGGUGCUAUAAAGUCUGAGGUGGAGGCGCGGACAACCAAUACCAGUGUACCUCUCAAUAUCUGGCAUCCUGAACUUAGUUGGCAAGCUGGCUACCGGCAUACCCCCAAAAUCAUCCCAAACAACUGAUCCAUCUGACACUCUCAUCUGCCUCAUACACUGCUCGAUGCGGUCCAUGCGGGCAUGCGUGUCAUCAGCGACAACGGCCUGGGCGACUACGGGUGGAGUGAUCUCAGAAUGCCCGUGUAAUACAUAUGGUGAUGCCUGAUGCACUGAAGGAACGAGUGGGGGUGGUGGAGGUGGGUGUGAGUCAUAUGGCGUCUCAUCCUGGACUGCUGGUGGUCUACCCUACUGACCACCGAUCUCCUGCCUGAGGCUAGCCAAAGCCUCCUGGAUAGAAGCCAUGGCAGCCGUGAACUGAUCGACCGUGACAACCUGCUGAUCCAUAUCUGGUGUAUCUGAAACCCGAACUAAUCUGCCCUCUACUCUGAUCCACGAAACUAUACCCAGACUGAGAGUAAAAAUCCUGAUCCUGAAAGUACUCCUCUUCUGCUCUGAUCCACAAAGGUAUAUCAAGACAAGGAACAAAUGUCCUAUCCUACAAAGCACGAAGAACGUAAUAAGGAUAUGGCCCGGGGAACGUAUAGAAGAAAAGAUAAUCUGAACAGGAACAAGCAAAGCAUCCAAGUGAAGAUGAGCGAUCCGACCGUACUCAAACUCGUCCUGAUCUCAGUGCACUCUCAACUGGAGACUAAACAGAGGGAAAAUCGGAUCCAAAACUGCGGCUACAGAGGCACGGAAAGCCCUCAGAUGCACCCACGUGUAGGGAGGGAAUCCUAAUCGAAGGAUCUACGGCUCAACCUACAAGGUCAAGGUGGCUCUAAAUGGAUAAGGGUGGACUUUAAAAUAUCCCUAGCAGAAGCGAUUAUACCCUCCGACGGUACGCAACCCUCUGCACGUCUCCGAAGAGACGGGGCGCUUCCAUGCAAGGUGGUCAUCACCUCCACACAUGCACUACCUCGCAUCCCAGGGGGUUUCCUAUGGUGAAACCUCUCAAACUCUCAACACUCAAUAGUCGACUAGAGUGCACAGUGAAUGGUGUGGGUGCAUCCGAAACCCUAAAAAGCUAAAGCAGGAUAUGAAACACACUGGCCACACAAAUAUCCAUGAAACCUAGCUUCGGGCUAUACAGGUCUUCAAUGAUCGGACUCCAAUCGACAUCAAAGUGUCGCUCUCCUCCAAAAUGCUCCCGUGCAUCGAUAUAGCCCAUCGCUAGACCCUACUCCUAAUCUCCGGCUCGGUCAAAGAGCAAGCACACAGAAGGUCUCACACUUGCAAUAGUGAGAACCGAAAUGAAAGGAAUGACCGAAACCAAGAGAGUUGGAGGUAGGGGGAUAGAAGUGAGACCCACAUAGACAGGCAACAUGCAAUCAUACAGAGGGAGGGCAGUCAUGCAUCAUACGGUCAAGCAGAGUAUAGGAUAUAUCACUCAUGUCCACACAAAAAAAAAAGCUACAACUAUCAGGAUGAAUAGUGAUAUGAACAUCAUGCUCAAAAGAUGAUCUAGAUAAUAUGCAGGUCAGAGAAAACAACACAGCAAGUCAAACGAUGUACAAUAGUGAGUCUAUGCAUGUGAAGUGAGCAGAAUAAUCAGGAAGAAACAGAAUCGCUUUACCAAGCAAAACAAGGUGAGCAACCUAUGAUAAUCGGCAUGUCAAUGUACCAAACUAAUAUAGCAAUGAAGUACAAAAAAAACGACAUCCGAAGCCCCAAAUCAAGAUGAUCAAUCAUAUCAAUGUCACAACAUAAUAUCCAAGCAUACAUAAAAAAAACUCUCAAUGUGCAAUCAAGAGACAGGUACUCGCUGAUCGACUCAUCAAAUGCCCUGUUUGCUUCAUCUUAAGUUCAAGCUUGACCCUCUAACUCAUCCCCAGCGGAGUCGCCAUUUUGUGGACCCCGCAUUUCGGCUCAAUGCGUUCCCCACUCAAUGGUGCAUGCAGUCUGUUGAGGCUUUGCAAUGAUGGAACCUGAGUGCAUUGUUGGGCAGUCAUCCAUCCUUAUGAAAAGUUCUUAGGAGACUCACCCAAUCCUUGAAGUUGGAUCUGUUCCAUCCCCAGAAAGAAGAAUAUCAACAGUGAAUUAUGGGCACUACGUCCCUUUGACUUGGACGUUGGCCGCCAAUGUUUGAUAUGGAGUCGCGUUUGACUCAAAUGUACACUGACGCUACUUUUGGGCAUUGCCAUCAUGCUAUCCGUGACAUUUUAACUCCUGUCCUUCUUGCAUUAUACGAAUCAAGGAGGAAGAGUAAAUCAAAGUAAAACUCAUCAUAUGGGGCAACGUGAUUUUUAUCCUUCCAGGCUGGCAGAGACUCAACAUGAUACAGGGUUCUAAUCAAAGUUUGCUCUCGUCCAAAUACUCAAUCCUGUAAACAUCCAUGGGAUCAGUAAUGGAGAUAAGAGAAGGUCAGGAAUGCAAAUGAAAGAGAAUCAUCAUUGAAGUAUUGGGUUGAAUAAUGGGGUUAUCAUGGGAUCAAGAGGCUUAUGGCUUGGUGACAAUAGUUGACAUGGACAAAUGAGGAGAUAUGAAAGGCCAGAUUUGAGAGAUGAAGUCCACGUUUCUAUCAAGGAUUAUUUUAAUUGAUUCCAUCAAGGGCUCUCACAUGUGAGAUAGAGAUGGCAAUAGUAACAAGCACAACGAUGUCAAUGGCAUGAUUUCUGAGGCUAGUAUCAUAGGCGGCAUCCACCAGGCCAUUUUGAUCCAUAAGAAAGGUAGCAAAGUGCAUCGGGGCUUCCUCUUCGUUUUGGGUGGAAUGGUGAUCUUUGUGUUCCUCAACGACAUCCAUGGAGUGGAGUAGAUUGUUUAUUUGACAGUAGCAAUUGCAAAUGGGUCAUUAAUGGACUUGGUUUUGAUUACCAGGGCUUGAGAGGUUUCUUACCGAAUGAUAUAUCCCAAUCGCGCCAUCUACAUGCAACACGUCAGAAUGAUUCUUCUGUGGAUGGGAGCUAUUCAUGUCCUCUGGUGUUUGAGAAACUGCCAGACGUAAACCAGGAAGGGUCCCAGUGGACAGAUUGUGAAAUUCGAGAGACCAUCAACGUGAUUUAUCAUGUAUAAACUGGAUUCUUACCUAAGUAUCCUUGUUUCCGAACAUCGUAAACCGCGGAAAUUAACUUUGUACUGGAUUCCCUAUACAUGUGGGGCAGCGGGCUCAUCAGUUUGCUCAGUAUGGCUCCUAUGUCAUGGUAGUUUGAUGGGAAGUAAUGACAUAAAAAAUUGGGUUCGUGAAGCUAAGGACUCAACCAUUACCUUCUGGAAUAAUCAUGUAGAGCAAUCGAUUCCGUCCAUUAGAGAUGAAUUCUUUCAGGCAAUCAGGAGCAACACCUAUGAUGCCAUCAGCUGUUCUAACAAGCUCUGCAGCACCACUGAUCCUUAUAGUGCAGUCCCUCCACCCUGAGCUUAGAGGGAAGUGUUUUUGCAUGGCCACCUUGGGCAUGCAGCUCUUGACCAUGUGCCAUUUCCUUCUAUUCUCUCAUCCCCUGUUUUCUUGAAAAUAAUCUUCUUAAAUCCCAUUUUCAAUAAAAUUUGGUUGCCAUUUUCCUUCCGGCAAGCCACUUGUGCAUUUUCUUUGUUUUUAAAAUGUUUUAAAAAUAAGUAAGAAUUAAAUUCCGUAAUUCCAAGUGAUGGAAUUUAUGGAAUUGAUUCAUGCAAAAAUGAAUUGGGUCUUGGUGGGGGCCCUACAUAUGAGAUUCCAUGAUUGAUUGAUUUAUUUGUCAUGCAUGAUUGAUUUACUCUAUUCCUUGAUAUGCGCUUAAUUAUAUAUGUUCAUUGUUCACUAACCAUGUUUCAUGAUAGCGCAUUCGUGAUUGCCGCCCAGGUACGCAUCUAUUCAUAUUUUGCUCAUUCUUUAUACAUGCUUUGUCUCUCAUAUGUGCAUGAUUGAUUCGAGUAUUCAUUGAUUUUCUCAUUGAUUGUCAUGUCAGCUUCAUCUCAUUAGUAGAGACCCGACUUUAGGGACUUAGAGGGGUGCUACGGUCCAUACCGUACCUUCCCAAUAAGUAACCUGACCCCUGAACCCGAUCCGAUUUUUCACAGACCACCUUUUCCAAAAUAAGGAGUCACACUUAGGGUUUUUCUUUCUUAUUUUGUUUACCCUUUAAAAAUAAAACAAAAAUAAGUGGCGACUCCAAGUCAUUUUCAAAUAAUCAAUAAAAAUCAUUUUUCAAAUAAAAAUCGAGCUCGUCAUCGAGUGGGAAACGCAUUGAGCCGAAAUGCGGGGUCCACAAAGUGAUCUUGAAAAUUAUAAGUUAAUUAUGUUUACUUGAAUAAGAGAUUUGAAUAAUCUUGUAAAAAGAUGAUGUUUGUCGUUUAAGUGGAAGGUUGAUUUAGAAAUUAUCAUACAGGGAAAUGGAAAAAAAUACUAUUAUUUUGGUACAAGACCAUAUUAUUCAGUGGUGUCUCUAGAAAGUUCCAUUAGAUGCUAUUAAACAAUUAAUUUGGUGUCUCACUUGCAUAAUUUUGAGUUAUUGGAUUUUGGGUUUUGCAGACUCUAAUCUCCGGAGGUAACGACACAACUGUUGUCUCUCUGACAUGGGCACUCUCUCUUGUACUAAACAACCAUGACACCUUAAAAAAAGCUCAACAAGAAUUAGACAUCCAAGUUGGGAAGGAAAGAUUAGUGAAUGAACAAGAUAUAGGUAAGUUGGUCUAUCUCCAAGCCAUUGUUAAAGAGACAUUACGGUUAUAUCCAUCAGGACCACUUGGAGGACUACGCCAAUUUACCGAGGAUUGCACCUUAGGUGGAUACCAUGUCUCUAAAGGCACCCGUUUAAUAAUGAACCUUUCGAAGAUCCAAAAGGAUCCAAGAAUUUGGUCAAAUCCAACAGAAUUCCAACCAGAGAGGUUUCUCACCACCCAUAAAGAUGUUGAUCCUUGGGGAAAACAUUUUGAAUUUAUACCAUUUGGAGCUAGUCGAAGAGUAUGUCCAGGAAUAACUUUUGGUCUUCAAAUAUUACAUUUAACAUUAGCUAGUUUCUUACAUGCGUUUGAAUUUUCAACUCCAUCAAAUGAAUAGGUCGAUAUGCGCGAGAGCCUUGGACUUACAAACAUGAAAUCUACCCCACUUGAAGUUCUCAUUUCUCCACGCUUAUCUUCUUGUAGUCUUUACAAUUAAAACAUUGAAACGAAUAGGUCAAGUCGGUCUUGCUAGUCUUGGUUUAAAGACAUAUGGAGUUAGGUUCAAUCAAUCUAUGACAAGAUUUGGGAUUGUAUUAAAAGUAGGUUGGACUAAGAAUGAUGUAUAAUAAACUAAAGUACUAUUUAUGUCAAUAAAGUAUAGCUUUAUAUAUUAUUUGGUUAUCCUUGCUCUCCGUCUAGGCUCUCAUGGGUGCAAGGCCUACCCAUGAGGCCCUUUUCUCCAAAUUUGAGUCAAGUGGCUAAGGGGCUUACAACUAGCUUCUUUGCCAUAGACAAAUUUUCUUUUGUUUAUAUGUUUUAAUUGAUGCAUAUUCACUUUCUUCUUUUCUUAAUUAAAUUGCAAUAAUUAAACAUACAAUUUAAAUAAAUUUUAAAUUUUAUUUUUAACUAAAAACAAAAGUAUACAGAUACAAAUAUAUACUGCUUAAGUAAUUAAUUUUUAAAAAUUAUCCUUUGAGAACAUCUCAGACAAACUGAGACAUGCUUCCAGAGAAAUCUAAAUGUAAUGUUUUUAAAAGCUACUUUGUAAUUUUAUUUUCGAGCAUGUUGCAUAAUAUAUACUUUCCUUGAAUUGAUUUUCCAAACUAUAUUUUUAUUAGCAAUAAGGGUUAUCUACGUUUUGGAAAUUAUAAGUUAAUUAUGUUCACUUGAAUAAGAGAUUUGAACAAUCUUGUAAAAAGAUGAUAUAUAUAUAUAUAUAUAUAUAUAUAUAUAUAUAUAUAUAUAUAUAUAUAUAUAUAUAUAUAUAUAUAUAUAUAUAUAUAUAUCGUAUGGCUGAUUUGGAAAUUAUCCAAAAUGGAAAAAAAUACUAUUAUUUUGGUACAAGACCAUAUUGUUCAAUAGUGUCUCUAGAGAGUUCCAUUAGAUGCUAUCAAACAAAUAAUUUGGUGUCUCACUUGCAUAAUUUUGAAUUGUUCGAUUUUGGGUUUUGCAGGCUCUAAUUGUCGGAGGUAACAAUACAACUGUUGUCUCUUUAACAUGGGCACUCUCUCUUUUACUAAACGUACAACCACGACAUCUUAAAAAAGGCUCAAGAAGAAUUAGAUAUCCAAGUUAGCAGGGAAAGAUUAAUGAAUGAACAAGAUAUAAGUAAGUUGGUCUAUUUUCAAGCCAUUGUUAAAGAGACAUUACGGUUAUAUCCACCAAGACUACUUGGUGGACUAUGCCAAUUUACUAAGGAUUGCACCUUGGGUGGAUACCAUGUCUCUAAAGGCACCCGUUUAAUAAUGAACCUUUCAAAGAUCUAAAAGGAUCCAAGAAUUUGGUCAGAUCCAAUAGAAUUCCAACCAGAGAGGUUUCUCAUCACCCAUAAGAAUGUUGAUGAUUGGGGAAAACAUUUUGAAUUUAUUUCAUUUGGAGCUGGUCGAAGAGCAUGUUUAGGAAUUGCUUUUGGUCUUCAAAUAUUAUAUUUAACAUUAGCUAGUUUCUUACAUGCAUUUGACUUUUCAACUCCAUCAAAUGAACAUGUUGACAUGCAAGAGGCCUUAGACUUACAAAUAUGAAAUCUACCUCACUUGAAGUUCUCAUUUCUCCGGACUUAUUUUCUUGUAGUCUUUACAACUAAAACAUUGAAAUGAAGAGGUCAAAGUCGACCUAGCUAGUCUUGGUUUAAAGACAUAUAGAGUUAGAUUCAAUCAAUCUAUGAUAAGAUUUGGGACUGUAUUAAACAUAGGUUGGACUAAAAAUGAUGUACAAUAAACUAAUUAAAGUAUUGUCCAUGCCAAUAAAGUAUAACAUUAUAUAUUAUUUGGUUAGCCUUAAGGAAUGUAGCAUCAUAAUUAUUUCUUUGUUUUGUCUAAUUUAUCACCAUUUUUUCCCCUUCUCUUCUUCCCUUCUCUUCAUUAGAACAAAUAAUAUAUAGUCUUUUUAUUUUUAAAAAUCAAAUUCGAUUCCCAGUUAUAUAAGAAUUUUACUUUUACUUUAUAAUAAACUUUACUUUAAUCUUAAUAACUUUGACCAUGAUCUCCAUCAUUGAUUAAAUAUAGGGAUAAUUUCAAUCAUUUUUUCUAAGAUUGGAGUUAAAUUUACCCAUCCAUUAUUAAUUUGAAAUUUUAUUAAAUAUUUUUUUUUUCCUUUUUUUUUACAUGUAUAUCUUUUAAUUUAAAAUAAUAGUUGUCCGAUAUAUUUAUAUGAAAUUAUUUUCGAAGAGGUGAAUGAAACUAAACUUUUUUUUAAAUAUAAAAUCAUAAAAAUUUAAUAUACGCCAGCACGAUCCGGUCUAAAUAUUAUAUAUAAUUUGUGUCAUUUCAAAAAAUCAUAGAAGAUCCUUUUGGCAAGGUGGCCCCUUUGAGUAGGAAUUCUCUAAUUGGUCACUACAUAUUACAUAAUUUCAAAGAUUAUGGAGGAUCAUUUACCAAUCAUUAUCAGAAGAAGUGCUGAUUCCUGUAUAAAACUAACCAAUACGAUAUUUAGCACAUGCAAACAGAUUUGGAAGGAUCUGAAAGUCAAGCCUACGGGCCAUCCCUUUACGGCUUGUUCGAAAAAGCACAAAUUGAUGGGGUGCCACUUGCCAGCAGUCUGUUUCAAUAUCUAAAUGUUACCCAGUGGGAUUGCUUGAUAUACUUUUUGUCUCCUAGCUACCAUCUAUUAUUAUGGAGCUCCAGAGCUGGUAAGAUAAGAAUACACCCAAAAGCUGCUGGUGCAUGGCCAAUAAUCGGUCACCUCCUCUUAGGGUCACAACUUCCUGGGAUUUUUUUUUAUAAAAUUACGGUAAAUUUAAAAUUAAUUUUUUAAAAUGCGGCAUAUUGAAAAUAUGCUUGAAUAAUAAUAAUAAAAUGACAAAUAAUAAAAAGGAAAGAAAGUUGUCUUGUGGCUAUAAGAAAGAAUAAUAUAAAAGAGAGAGAUGAGGAGAGGCGGAUAGAGAGAAGAGUAGGCCGAAAAAAAAAAAAAAAAAGAGGAGAACGGGGAGGUGCUGCAAAUCUUUGGGCGUUCGAUCGUAUGACGAGCAAAACGACUUAUGUUUUGCAUGAAAGUUAAGGAGAAAAUUUUCUUUGAGGCGAGGAACAUUCCUUCAAAGUUCGAUUUUAGUUUCAAUGAUUGGAUUUUUUUAUUUGUGGUAAGAUAGUUUAAUCCUACAACUUUUGUUUAAUAUUUUGUUCUUGAAAAAAUAUUAUGAAUUUUUUUAGUGGAAGAUAAAUAUGUGUUAUUUGUGUUUUCUUUAUGUUAUUUGAAGUAUGAUUAUUCUUAAGGUUAUUAUUAUUAUUAUUGUUUUAUGAUUUACAUAUUAUUAUGAUUUUAUUUUUAAAAUUUUUAUGUUUGCAAUGAUUUAAUUGAAGAAAAACUGUUGUGUUGAUUGUUGAAAAUUAUUUAGUAUGUUGGGAAUAAAUAAAAUUUAUAUGAUUAGGGUUGAGACUAUGUUUUGAUGAUAUGUAAAUUAUUGUGAAUAUAUAUAUAUUUUAUAUUUGUAGUGAUUUAAUUGAAGAAAAAUUGUUGUGUUGUAAUUGGAAUUAUUGAUCAUGUUUGGAGUAAAUAAAAAUUAUGUCCUAGAAAAUUAUGCAUAAUAACAUGCAAGUUUAUUAUAUUUCAUAUGCAUCAUGGUUAUGUGAAAAAAAAAAUUGAUGAAAGAUUUUAUAAAAUGAAAAAGGAAAAAGAAAAUAAUGAUGAAAAGUAAAAACCUGUGAAAGAUAAAUCAAGAAGGAAAUGAGAUUUCUAGUGUAAAAAAUACAAAAAUUUAUCCCGUGAGUGUAUUUGAUAUAGAUGCAUAUCAUUAAGUGAAAACCCAAAAACAAUAGUUGAAUGUAAGCAUUUGCACCAUGUUUUCAUUUGGAAGAAGGACAUGUAUUAAAUACUUGAAUGACAUCAAUGGUAUGUUUAAAUAUAUUAUUAGAGAUUGAAAUAAUUUAUUUAUUUUGUAAGUUUAGAAUUAUUGGAUAAACCGCUAUUGACGAUUGGACCGAUGAAUGGGGCGGUUUUUCAUGAACUGCAUGGCUAAAUUCCAGCUCCAGUCUUCCUCCCAUUUUUCCUUUCAUCCAAAUAGUCCAACCUCCCCCUCCUCUUUUUCAUAGGGUCCAAGUGAAAGCCCAAUAAGCCCAGCCUUACAUUUUAAUGGCUUUUUGGCAAAACCUAAACCCAUUUAAACCCAUGGGUGGUACCUUUUUGGCAUGUACUAAUUUGAGUUAUAUGAAUUUUUGUAAUUUAAAUUAUAAUUUGUUAUUUUGUAAAAUAUUUUUUACUUAGAUUUAUGUAGAUAUUUGGGUUAAUUUGGGAUUAUAUAUUGAUCUAUUCAACUGAAAUCAUUGACCGUCAAAUUGGAUAGGAAUAACAUUUAAGGUCAACCCUUUGACCUGAUAUCACUAAUCGGAUUCUGAGUUGCCUUGAAUAGGGUGUGACUAUAAUGGAUUUUCUUCUCCAAUGCCUAAACCCUGUCAUGGUUGGAGCGUUUGCAAUACUCGUCCUCUCAUACCACCUGUUAUUAUGGAGGACUGGAGCUGGUAAGAGCAGAAUGGCACCUGAAGCUUCUGGUGCAUGGCCCAUAAUAGGUCACCUGCACCUGUUAGGUGGAUCUAAGAAUUUGCCUCACUUACUUUUUGGAACCAUGGCCGACAAGUAUGGACCAGUAUUCAGCAUCCGGCUGGGAUUAAAAAGAGCUGUGGUGGUGAAUAGUUGGGAGAUGGCCAAGGAAUGCUUCACCACCCAUGACCUGGCUCUGGCCUCCCGUCCUGAGGUUGAGGCCGCCAAAUAUUUGGGAUAUAACUAUGCCAUGUUUGCUUUCUCUCCUCACGGUGCAUACUGGCGUGAAGUGCGUAAGAUAGCUACUCUAGAGCUACUCUCGAAUCGCCGGCUAGAAUUGCUGAAGAAUGUCCGAAUCUCAGAGGUGGAGACAUGCAUGAAGGAACUAUACAAGCUUUGGGCAGAGAAGAAAAACGAAGCGGGCGUUGUUUUGGUGGACAUGAAGGAAUGGUUUGGGCACUUGACUCUGAACGUGAUUCUUAUGAUGGUUGCUGGAAAACGAUAUUUCGGUUAUACAGGCGAAAGUAAAGAGAAAGAGGCCCAGCAGUGCCGGAAAGCGAUUAGGGAAUUCUUUCGUUUGUGGGGACUCUUUGUGGUGUCAGAUGCCAUUCCUUUUUUUGGAUGGCUUGACGUGGGUGGACAUCUGAAAGCCAUGAAGAAGACUGCAAAAGAACUGGACGGUAUUGCUCAGGAAUGGUUAGAGGAACACCGGCAGCGAAAAGAUUCUGGUGAAGCUGAUGGUAACCAGGACUUCAUGGACGUGACGCUGUCCAUUCUGGGUGGUAGAGACAUUACUGAUUAUGAUGCUGAUACCAUCAACAAAGCUACAGCCCUGGUAUGCACAUUAUUCCUUUAGCAUCUUUAUAUGGUAGUAAAAAAUGAGACAUAAUUUCAUGCUUUAUCAUCUUUAGUCCAGACUCAAGAGUACUUGGGCCUGGGUUGGAAGAACUUAUUUUUGCUUUGUUUCAAGUCGAAACUAAUCAAAAGCAGCGAUUUUUAAAAGGUAAUUAUAAUAAUGGUAUUAUAAAAGUUCAAACAUAAAAUAACUUUUUGCAUAAAUCAAAAUAGAAUUUUUAUAUAUACAUAUAAAAUGUUUUUCUGAUCUUCAUAUUAAUUUUUUUAAGUCAUAACUUUUUUGAACAAAAUUAGUCAAACCAUAGAACUCUUGAACUUACAAAAAAGGGCUUUCGAUUUCUUAGAAGUAGAUACAUGUAGAUUAUGAAAGUAUGUUCCUUAGUCCGCAUGGUUUGAGGCCUCUUUGAGUGGGCUUCUAGAGUCGGUUAGACAAUUGGGCCUUUCAAAGGAUUUCCUAAAUUUACAUUUUUUUUAGCCCAACUUGAAUUUUUAUAAAAUGCUAUAUUUAUACGCGAGUUUCAUAUUCAAGCUAAACAUACCCAUUUUGAUUGGAAAAAAAAGGAAAGAAAAUGGGGCCUUUUUUCCACCCUUAAUCCUAUCACUACUUUUAAUUUUAUUUUAUUAGUUAAUGGUUUGUAUUUCACAGAUUCUGAUUGGAGGAGGCACUGACACUACAUCUGCUACUUUAACAUGGGUCAUCUCACUUUUAUUAAACAAUCCAGAUGUAUUAAGAAAAGCCCAAGAAGAAUUGGAUGCUCAUGUUGGUAAAGAAAGACUAGUAAAUGAAAUGGAUAUAAGCAAGUUGGUCUACCUUCAAGCAAUUGUUAAAGAGACAUUGAGGAUAAAUCCAACAGCUCCACUUUCAGGACCGCGUCAAUUCAUCCAAGAUUCUAUUUUAGGGGGUUACCAUAUCUCAAAAGGCACUCGUCUUAUAUUGAACCUUACCAAGAUCCAAAGAGACCCAAGAGUAUGGUUGAAUCCAAUGGAGUUCCAACCAGAUAGAUUCCUCACCACCCAUAAAGAUGUUGAUGUUAGAGGUAAACAAUUUGAGUUGACACCAUUUGGAGGUGGAAGAAGAAUUUGCCCUGGAGCAGUUUUUGCCCUUCAAGUGCUACACUUAACAUUAGCCAACUUCCUGCAUAGAUUUCAACUUUCAACUCCAUCAGAUGCACCGGUUGAUAUGAGCGAGAGUUUUGGAUUAACAAACAUCAAAUCCACUCCACUUGAAGUUCUUAUCUCCCCACGCUUGGCUUCUUAUGAUCUUUAUGAGUAGAACUUGAGGUCGCUAAGAGACUUAUUUCAAAAAACCUAGUGCUAUGAAAUGUGAAAUAAAAAUAAAUUUCACACAUGUAGCAUAAGUUUAGUAUUAUUUUCAAGCAGUUACUCAUGUGUGUCCUUUAAUAUUGUCUUAGCUUGAAUUUAAUGAAAAAUAUUUUCGACACCUUUUUCGUGUGGACAAGUAAUGACCCAAUUUCUUGUUAUGUUUCUUCAUUCUUUCAUGAAAGAGAAUUUAGAAGAACAAGUGACAUAUAGCAUUACAAUUGAAAAAUUAAUAAGUAUGUGCUCCACCAUAUGCAUAUAUAUAUGCAUAGUAGACUUGAUGAGUUUCCAAGUUGAUUAAUUGGUAUCUCCUUUUGAUAGAUUUCAGCCACCUUUUUGUACAUGAUUAAAGUAGUAAUGGAAACUAAAAUUACAACUCCCAUUUCAUUGUAAAAAGUUGGGAUGUGCAAGGUGGGUCAGUUCAAUUUUGGGCAUUAAAAUCAAAUCGAAUUGAACCCAAAAGAGGAAAAUGAUUAGUUUGACUUGAUUAACAAUAAUCUAAGUUGGUUCAUUUUGCUUCUAUUUAUAACAUCAAUUUUUUUUUAUAAUUUGAACAAAAAUAAUAUUAUUGAAGCAAGUCAUCUUUGGACGGUUGAAAUGAUAUUAUUACCACUAAUUUCAAAUCAUAUUAUUAUAACUUAAUGACGUGAAUAGGUAUUAUUGUAACCCAUGUCAAUCAUAUCAAAUAGUCCAAGUCAGAUAAAAGUUAUAAAGGUGUGAUUGGGAGUUCCAUCCAAUGUGAAAAAUGUAUACCAAAUUAAUGAUGUAACCAAUUGUUAUACUGUAUAUUAUUACUGUGUGUAUAACUUUCAAUUCAAUUCAGUUUGGUUCAUUAAUUUUUUUAAUAGGUAAUUGAAUUGGUAUAACUGAGUUAUAUAUUUUAAAAACCAAAUUUAUUAAAAAAAUAAAAUCUUAAAAAAUUAAUAGAUUUGGGUCAAUUCCAUUGAUUUUGCCAAUUGUACACCCUAAAAGAAGGGAUGUCCACUUAUCAUUCAUAAACUUUGUGUACUCCUAAGUUACAAUUUUGUCCCAUGUGAUUCACAUUUGUACUUAUUAUUCUCAAUUUUUUGUACAAAUGAUUUAUUAUUUUACAGAAUUUUACUCCAUGAGAUUCACAUUUGUACUUAUUAUUAUCAACUUUGUCUGCUCUUAAGUUACAAUUUCUCCUAAUUAGAUUCACAUGCGUUAUUGCCAUAAUUGAAUUUCCACAUUUAUGCAUGAAUUAUUAUGUUAAUAGAUACAUUAUCAUUUUGUCAAGUUAAUCUGACUCAGGUUAAUCACCAAAGACAAGGUGAAUUAAUUGACUCAAUUUUAAUAAAUUUUAAUUUAAAUGAGUGCAAGUAAUAAUAAUACAAAAAAAAUUAAAUAAAAAGAAGAGAUAACAGGUACAAACUCCAAUUUAUAUAUUUUGCUCAAUCCUAUACUCUCCUCAAGCUCUCAAAUGCAAAUUGAGGGUUCCACUAGCUUUUAAGACUUCAAUCAAACCUUAAUCCUUUACACUUGGAUUCUCAAUUUCAAUGACCUUUUUACACUUUAAUUCAAGAAAUUCCUCACUCUUGAACAUACUCAAAGGUAACACUUAAACAACAUUGAUCUCACAAAAUUUAUUUACAGAUAAUAUAAAUGAAAACUUAAAUGGUUUUUCUUGGCUAGGAUUUCUAAGUUAAUAAGGAUUUUUACAUUAAAAAGAAAGAGUUAAGAUCAACUGGGUUUUGUAAGAUUUUGAUAUAUAUCUUAGUUUGUGAGUUUUUUGGGAUUCUAUUGUAAUCUUAUUGUUUUAUCCUAAAAUUGUCAAAAAAAGAAAUCAGUAAUUUAGUAUGGCAAUUUUACUCCAAAGAUUAUUGAUUAAAAAUUAUUUUACUAAUACCAACGUGUAAGAGUUAAAGGCAUAAAAUUGAAAUUAAAGUAAGUUUAUUAUUUUGGAUUUGGUUAAGUAAUGACAAGAUUAAUAAUUGAACUUAAUGUAAAAAGAAGUGUAAAAACUUUAAAAGUUUAAAAUAUCAUUUCAUUAUUAGUUUCCACUUGCCAACAUAGAUUUCUCAUUCUAUUCUAACAAGUUUUUUGUACUUUUAUAUAUAUAUUUCAUAAACUUAACAAAGGAUACAAACAGCAAAAGAAAAAAAAAUAAUUGAGCUACUAAACCUCAAUAUAAAUUUGGGGUGAAUUGUCAAGGAGCAGGGGGAAGUACUGUAUCACAGAUCAAUGUGAAGAUGUAUAUAUAUUUAUAGUAUAGAACCUAAGAGGUGAACGUUUCUUUCUAAGUUAGGUAAACAUUUCUGUCAAAGUUGAUGAAAUUUUACUAUAAUUUAUAUACACAUGCUUUCAGUGUGCAUAUAGGUUGAAAUAAUAUGUGGAGAUGAUUUUUAUAUGUGAUUUAAUAUUGUUUUGGAUUAUUGAUUAUGACUAUAAAUUAUCAUGCAUGGAACUAAUCAAAAUGAUAUAAUUAAAUUAUAUUAAUGAAUUUGAGAUAGACAUGGCAAUUAUUAAUUUGAAAUAUCUUAUAUGAACAUAAAAUUUUAAAUAUAGACUCAUAAUUUAUAUUAAAAUAAUAAAAUUAAAAAAGUACGUUUAUCUCAAAUUUAUGCCUAGGGCCCAAAUUUUGCUGAGAGCCAGCCGGAUGUCAUCACAUGCAAGAAAGCUAGGAAACAAAGCUGAAGUUUGCUUCUUGUGUGGGAAGAGGUACUUCCGUGCUUGACUGAAAGAAAGGAUUUUCUACAAGAAAAAUUGUCCCCUUGUUUGUAAAGCCUCAAGUUGCGACAGCAAUAACGACAAAAGUAGGCCAAAGAAUUUGUCAUUAUUAUGAGACUAGAGAGGUUUUACUGAGAAGUUUUCCGAGCGUGAUAUCAGCAUUCGCUGUAUCACAGUGAUACAACAAAUGGUUUGAACACAGUGAUCUAGAACCCAUUAGCUCAAAUUUCAUUGAUCUGAACACGAUGAUCCUCAUCCGCAGACCAUUUUAGGGAAUGAUUAAUUCUAGCGAUUUUUUAACUGCCUGUACGAAGAACUUUAUCAAAAUUGGAUUCAGUGUAUCUUAACCAAUCUUGAUCAGUAUGCGACUGAUGAUUCUAUUUGAUAAAAGUAAUGCGGUGGCCCAACUUUAUCUUAAUUUCCAUGUUGAAACUAACCAUUAUAUUAUUCUAUAAUUAUAAAUAUAUACUAUGGAAUUAAGAUAACUUUGACAUGCUAAGGAUCAAAAGAGGGCAGCCACUUUAGUUGUGGAUUAUACUAAAUAAAGCUGAUCGAUUAUUACAUUGGAAAAUAACAUUGAACCUAUCAUGAAAGACAACCCUACUGGACCAUGCCCUGAGUACUAAAUGCUGAUAAAAAACAAGUACAUGUUCCAAAGGAAUUGAGUCCAUAUAUACUCAUUAGUGCUCAAAGAGAAAAACUAUAUAUCCACCGCUUAACUACAGUGAUCCUUUGAGCAGAAGAAACUAGCCAUGUAUUUCCUUCUCCAAUACCUAAACAUCACCACGGUCGGAGUCUUUGCCACACUUUUCCUUUCCUACUGUCUAUUAUUAUGGAGGUCUAGAGCUGGUAACAAAAAAAUAGCACCUGAAGCUGCUGCUGCAUGGCCCAUAAUCGGUCACCUACACCUGUUAGCUGGUGGUUCUCAUCAGCUUCCCCACAUAACCUUGGGAAACAUGGCCGACAAAUAUGGACCGGUCUUCACAAUUCGGAUUGGGUUGCAUCGAGCUGUGGUGGUAAGUUCUUGGGAGAUGGCUAAAGAAUGCUCGACCGCCAAUGACCAGGUUUCAUCCUCGCGUCCCGAACUUUUAGCCUCAAAACUUUUGGGCUACAACUACGCCAUGUUUGGUUUCUCUCCAUACGGUUCUUACUGGCGUGAAAUGCGCAAGAUAAUCAGCCUAGAGCUACUCUCUAACAGCCGCUUAGAGCUGCUGAAGGACGUCCGAGCUUCAGAAGUGGUGACAUCCAUAAAAGAGCUAUACAAGCUCUGGGCAGAGAAAAAAAAUGAAUCGGGCCUUGUCUCGGUGGAGAUGAAGCAGUGGUUUGGAGACUUGACUCUGAACGUAAUUCUUAGGAUGGUGGCAGGGAAGCGUUAUUUCAGUGCUUCAGAUGCAAGUGAAAAUAAACAGGCGCAGAGGUGCCGGAGAGUGUUCAGGGAAUUCUUUCAUUUGUCAGGGCUCUUUGUGGUGGCGGACGCUAUUCCAUUUCUUGGAUGGCUCGACUGGGGGAGACAUGAGAAAACCCUAAAGAAGACAGCAAUAGAAAUGGACAGUAUUGCUCAAGAAUGGUUAGAGGAGCACCGUCGGAGGAAAGACUCCGGUGAUGAUAAUAGUACGCAAGACUUCAUGGAUGUGAUGCAGUCAGUUCUUGAUGGCAAAAACCUUGGUGGUUACGACGCUGAUACCAUCAAUAAAGCCACAUGCCUGGUAUGAGUUAUUAAUGAAACACCCACGUACCAUUUAUUUGCAUAUUAUCAGGGCUAGCUUCUUUUGCACAGACAGUUUUUCUUUUGUUUAUAUGUUUUAAUUGAUGCAUAUUCACUUUCUUCUUCUCUUAAUUAAAUUGUAAUAAUUAAACAUAAAAUUAAAUAAAUUUUAAAUUUUAUUUUUAACUAAAAAUAGAAGUAUACAUAUACAAAUAUAUACUGCUUAAGCAAUUAAUUUUUUAAAAUUAUUCUUUCAGAACACUUCAGACAAGCUGAGACAUGCUUCGAGGGAAAUUUAAAUAUAAUGAUUUUAAAAGCUACUUUGUAAUUUUAUUUUCGAGCAUGUUGCAUAAUAUAUGCUUUCCUUGAAUUGAUUUUCCAAAUUUUAUUUUUGUUAGCAAGAAAGGGUUAUCUACGUUUUGGAAGUUAUCUUUAAUUUCCCCUGUAAAGAAUAAGUGAUCUUGAAAAUUAUAAGCUAAUUAUGUUCAUUUGAAUAAGAGAUUUGAAUAAUCUUGUAAAAGAUGAUGUAUAUCGUUUAAGUGGAUGGUUGAUUUAGAAAUUAUCAUAAAGGGAAAUGGAAAAAAAUACUAUUAUUUUGGAACAAGACCAUAUUGUUCAUUGGUGUCUCUAGAAAGUUCCAUUAGAUGCUAUCAAACAAUUAAUUUGGUGUCUCAUUUGCAUAAUUUUGAGUUAUUGGAUUUUGGGUUUUGCAGACUCUAAUCUCCGGAGGUAGCGACACAACUGUUGUCUCUCUAACAUGGGCACUCUCUCUUGUACUAAACAACCGUGACACCUUAAAAAAAGCUCAAGAAGAAUUAGACAUCCAAGUUGGUAAGGAAAGAUUAGUGAAUGAACAAGAUAUAAGUAAGUUGGUCUAUCUCCAAGCCAUUGUUAAAGAGACAUUACGGUUAUAUCCACCAGGACCACUUGGAGGACUACGCCAAUUUACCGAGGAUUGCACCUUGGGUGGAUACCAUGUCUCUAAAGGCACCCGUUUAAUAAUGAACCUUUCGAAGAUCCAAAAGGAUCCAAGAAUUUGGUCAGAUCCGACAGAAUUCCAACCAGAGAGGUUUCUCACCACCCAUAAAGAUGUUGAUCCUCGGGGAAAACAUUUUGAGUUUAUACCAUUUGGAGCUGGUCGAAGAGCAUGUCCAGGAAUAACUUUUGGUCUUCAAGUAUUACAUUUAACAUUGGCUAGUUUCUUACAUGCGUUUGAAUUUUCAACUCCAUCAAAUGAACAGGUCAAUAUGCGCGAGAGCCUUGGACUUACAAAUAUGAAAUCUACCCCACUUGAAGUUCUCAUUUCUCCACGCUUAUCUUCUUGUAGUCUUUACAAUUAAAACAUUGAAACGAAGCGGUCAAGUCGGUCUUGCUAGUCUUGGUUUAAAGACAUAUAGAGUUAAGUUCAAUCAAUCUAUGACAAGAUUUGGGAUUGUAUUAAAAGUAGGUUGGACUAAGAAUGAUGUAUAAUAAACUAAAGUACUAUUUAUGUCAAUAAAGUAUAACUUUAUAUAUUAUUUGGUUACCCUUAUGGAAUGCAACAUCAUAAUUAUUUAUUUGUUUUGUCUAAUUCAUUCUACAUUUUUUUCCCCUCAUUUUCACCACAACAAAUAAUAUAUAGCAUUUUAUUUUUUGAAAUCAAAGUUAGUUCCGAGUUAUAUAAGAAUUUUACUAUUACUUUAUAAUAAACUUUAAUCUCAAUAAUUUUAACAUGUAAAUAUGAUCUUCAUCCUUAAUCAAAUAUAGGGAUAAUUUCAUUCAUCUUUUAGAAGAUUAGAGUUAAAUUUACCUAUCCAUCAUUAACUUGAAAUUUCACUAAAUAUAUUUUUUUUUCUUUUUCCUUUACUAUUUUUACUCAUCAUAUCUUUUAAUUUAAAAUAAAAAAUAUGUUUAAUAAAAUUUGGGAAUAAUGGUUAUUAGACAUAUUUACGUGAAAUUUUCGAUGAGGUGAAUGAAACUAAAGUUUUCUUUAAAUGUAAAAUCAUAAAAAUUUAGUAUCUGCCAGCAUGAUCCGGUCUAAAUAUUAUAUAUAAUUUGUGUCAUUUCAAAAAAUCAUAGAAGAUCCUUUUGGCAAAGUGGCUCCUUUGAGUUGGUAUUCUCUAAUUGUCACUACAUAUUAUAUAAUUUCAAAGAUCAUGGAGGAUCAUGUCGGCAAUCAUGAUCAGAAGAAGUUGCAGCUUCCUCUAUAAAAUACUAUAUAUACAUAAAAUUAAUCAAUGCAAUAUUUAGCAUAUGCAAGCAAAAUUGGACGGAUCAUGAAAGUAAACCUACGGGCCACCCCUUUACGACUUGUUCGAAAAAGCACUAACCCAGGGUGGUGCCACUUUCCAGCUGUCUUUUUCAAUAGCUAAAUGUUACCACGGUCGGAAUGCUUGGCAUACUCUCUCUCCCCACUAUCUAUUAUUAUGGAGAUCCAGAGCUGGUAAGAGAAGAAUAGAACCCGAAGCUGCUGGUGCAUGGUCAAUAAUCGGUCACCUCCUUUGGGUCACAACUUACUGAAAAACCGUCUGUCUAGUAGGUAAGAUUCAGAGGUGAAUACAUGUAUUUAAAAAGAUUAUAACAAAAAAAUUGAAUUGUUUUAACCUAAUGAAGAUAUAAAAGAUAAAUAAAAUAAUCAAAAUCAAACAAAUAAGUAAAGGACACAAAUUUUUAUAUGGAAAAUUUUCACAUUUACUAUAAAGAUAAAAAAACUACAAGAUAUAACAUCUUUAAUCUACUAUCUAUUGUUUGAAAUCAAAGUACGCAAAUUUACUUGCUCACGAUGCAACACCUUUCUCUUAGUCUCGUUGAAGAGAUGCAAGUCAAUACUAUGAAUUUUUUCUCAAGAAAUUGGAAAUGAUAGGGUAAGUUGUUGAUUCUCUUGUAGUGUCAAUAUAAAACAUAUUUAGGUAUGAUAUGUAAAAAAUAUUUACAUAAUCACAUAGAUUAAUGAUACAUGAUUAAAAGAUACUAACAAUAGGAAAUCACUAUAAAGAACAUACCUGUUUGAGUCAUGAUAAAAAAAACGUGAUUGAUUGUUGUAGUCAAGUCUUCCUCUCUAUGAUCUUGAUAAUAGAUAUGGUGGCUAUAUGGGAAAACAGAUAAACCCUAUUUAUCUACAUUAGAGAGGGGACCUAGCAUAACUCAAAUUGGAUUCUCAUUGGGCCCUCCCAUAAUGGGCUUCAAUGAGACCCAUAGCCUACACUUGCCACUCAACUGAGCUUCUACUCAAAAGAUGCAAAACCCAAUCUAAAAUGUGAUCACUAAUUAAUUGGGCUCAUUAUAGAAUAGACUAUCUAUUAACCCGUUUUUGCAAAUACAAAUUAUUCAAUUAAUGUUAGCCCAUAUAAAAAUUUUCCAACAUGAUAUAUAUAAGAGAAGAUCUACUAGAAUUGGUAUCAAUUAAAAAAUUAUAUUUUACUAAAAAUAAUUUAGAAACUUAAACUUUUAAAAAGAUUUGGAAUAGUUUUCUUUUUAAAAUUAUUAAUUUUAUAUUAUUUCCCAAUUUAUUUUUAUUAUUUGGAAAUGAAUUUUUAAAUUGAGAAUUUAAAAAAUCUUUUUAUUAUUUGGAAAGAUCUUUUAAAUUCUCAAUUUAAAAAUUCAUUUCCAAAUUAUUUUUAUUAUUUGAAUUUUUUUUUAAAUUCUUAAUUUAAAGUUCUUUUNNNNNNNNNNNNNNNNNNNNNNNNNNNNNNNNNNNNNNNNNNNNNNNNNNNNNNNNNNNNNNNNNNNNNNNNNNNNNNNNNNNNNNNNNNNNNNNNNNNNGUAAGUCAUCGUCUAAAAAGAUUUUUAAGUCAAAAUGAAAUUAAACAAAAUUGUUAACUAACAAAUUACAAGACUUACUAUCCCAACAUCCCCCAUAUAUACUUGGGAACCAUGGCAGACAUAUACAGACCGAUCUUCACGAUCCUGGUCGGGAAUGCAUCGAGCAUUGGUGGUGAGCAAUAAGGAGGUGGCCAAAGAAUGCCUCGCCAUCAAUGACUCAGCAGUGUCCGGCCAUCCCAAAUUGGUAGCCCCAAAACAUCUGGGUUACAACUAUGCCAUGUUGGCUUUAUAUAUAUAUAUAUAUAUAUAUAUAUAUCAAUAGAAAUACUUAAACAAAAUAAAUAUUUACAUGUGAGGAAAAAAUAUUUACUUAAAUUUCAGAGAAUUAAUAAUAAGGUUAUAUUUGGUUUCUAAAAAGUAUUAAAGAAAAAAAAUAUAAAAGAAAAUGAUUUUUUUAUGUUUGGUUUUAUUAUAAUUUUUUUAAUGAAAAUUAAAUAUAAUUAGAAAUUUAUACAUUUUAAAAUUAUUUAAUCUUUAUAUAAUUGAGGAAAUUAAGUGAAAUGAAUUUGAGGAAACAUAUAAAAAUAAUUUAUUAAUUUUGAAUAUAUAUAUAUAUAUAUAUAUAUUAUUUUUUUUCUUUUUUUUUGUUCCACUUUUCAUCUCUAUUUUCUUUUCCUCAAAAUUUUCAAGAAUCAAGCCAAAGUAUUUCUAUUUAAUUGUAAUAAAUACAUGAUAGUUUUUUUUUUUUUCACGAAUUGUAGAUACCAUUUAUGUGCACUUGUCAUAAAUUACUUUUACGAUAAUUUUAAUUAUCUAAAUUAUUAUAUCGUAAUGUAAUAAAAUAGUUCCUUUAUUUUUUAUAAAAAAUUUUUAUAUUUUAAUUUUAUAAUAAACAUACUCUUUCCUGCAUUUCUUGAAAUUUUUUUAUAUAUAAAUUAUGAAAACGUAAAUUAUGGUUGCUUUUUUUUUUUUUUUUUUGGUUUUAGAAAAAAUAAUGAAAAUGCAUUUCAUAGCUGUGGAUUUUGAUAAAUUGGAAAAAAAAAAAAAAAAAAAGAGAAAGGUGGAAAGAAUUUAAAAUGUGUAUUUUUAAAAUUUAUUAAGAAAUUUAACCUUCUUUUUUCGUGGAUAUGGGCGAUUAGGCCAAACCAUAUAAAUAUUUUGUCUUCUUUUUCAUUUAUUUUAUUUUUGUUGUUGCAUUUGAUAUUGCAAUUUCCCUCCUCCCCCCAACAAGUGGAAUUAAACUUGUGGUGGGAAGAUCAUGGGAAAAUUGAAAAGGAUGUCAAGCAUAAAAUAUGAUAUUAAAUCAUUUGAUGGAAAUAAUAAUAAUAAUAAUUUUAGCAUAUGGCAGAUGUUUUGGUAUAACAAAGACUUCUUAAAGUGUUAAAAAGGUAAGAAAGCAAAGAACAUGAUAGAAGAUGAUUUAUGGGAGAAGUUAUACACAAUUUAUAUGUCAACAUCCCAAGAAGAUGGAUGAAGGAUUAGAUGUUGAGGUCAUAUAAAUAAAUUUAUUAAGUAUAUACCCAGGUAUUAAGUGUAGAUAUUAAGAUGGAUAGAAAGAUCAAAUCAUUCUUUCAUUGGCUUUCUACCAAAAUCGUACGAGAUAGUAGUAACUGCACUUUUAGUUGGAAAGACAACUAUUACACACCCUAAAUACUAAAAUUAUGAUUUAAUUAUAAUAUCAAAUGAUUAAUUUAUAAUUUUAAAAUUUUAUAUAUAAAUUUAUGAAUAAAAUACAAUGUUUGAAAUAAAAAACUAAUUAUUUAAUUAUUUUCAAAUUCAUGAAUUUUAAUUCUAAUGUACAUAAUAACCGUAAUUUUUUUUAUAAAGUUGUUACUAAAUAUAUAUUUCCAAAUAGUAACAUAAUAACAUUUUAUUUUACAAUUUCUAAAUUUAAAAUUUUAUUUCUUUUAAAAGUUGAAAUAAUAUGGUCUAAUGAAUUGAGAGUUUUUAUAUAUGUCUUGUAUGUUGUUUAAGUUAUGUAAUUUCACCAUGUAAAAUAGACUAUUUUUAAAAGUUUUAAAAUUUAAGAUAAGAAAUAAUAGAUUUUGUUACUUUUCAUGUUGGUGAUACUCAAUUUUUUAGAUUUUUUAUUUUUGAUAAUUUUAUUUAGGUGAACUUUUUAAAAAAAAAAAAAAAGAAAAAAAAAAGAAAUUUAACUAAAGUUGUCAAUUUAUAAUUAAAAUUGGAAAAUCAAAUUUUGAUUUACCUAUAAUUAAAUUCUAAAAUAUUUUUAUUAGAUUCAAGGAGGGUAUUCCAUUAUUUAUAUUACAAACUUAAAGUUAAGCAGACAUUUACUUCAAUGUGCUAUACAAUAAAUAAAAUGAUGCAAAAUGGUGCACCACACCCAACUUGCGCACUUUAUGCACACCAUUCAAAUCGUGCAUCUCCAACAUACGACCUAAAUUGUGCACCUCUAAUGCAUCACUUGAAUUGUGUACUACUUAAAUUAUGCAUGUCUCCGGUUUAAAACACUUUGUGCAUCCCCAAUUAUGCACCUCCUUCUCUUUUAACACCUACUUAGAUUUGCAUAUUAUCAGGGCUAGCUUCUUUUCCAUAGACAGUUAUUCUUUUGUUUAUAUGUUUUAAUUGAUGCAUAUUCACUUUCUUCUUCUCUUAAUUAAAUUGCAAUAAUUAAACAUACAAUUUAAAUAAAUUUUAAAUUUUAUUUUUAACUAAAAACAAAAGUAUAUGUAUACAAAUAUAUACUGCUUAAACAAUUAAUUUUAAAAAAUUAUUCUUUGAAAACACCUCAGACAAACUAAGACAUGGUUCCAGAGAAAACUAAAUAUGAUGCUUUUAAUAGUUGCUUUGUAAUUUUAUUUUCAAGCAUGUUGCAUGAUAUAUACUUUCCUUGAAUUGAUCUUCCAAAUUUUAUUUUUGUCAACAAUAUACCUAUGUAAGAGAUGGUUAGUUUAGAAUUUUUCUCUUAAACCAUAGGGAAAAAUGGAAAAAGAAUACCAUUAUUUUCGUACAAGGUCAUAUAGUUUAACAAUGUUUGAAGAGGGUUUCAUUAUAUACUAUCAAACAAUUAAUUUGGUGUGGUCACUUACGUAUUUUUAAGUUGUUGUCUUCUUCAUUUUGUAGGCUCUAAUUGCAGGAGGUAGCGACACAAUAGUUGUCACUCUAACUUGGGUGCUCUCUCUCUUCUAUUAAACAACCAUGACACCUUAAAAAAAGCACAAGAAGAAUUGGAUACACAAGUUGGCAAGGAAUGAUUAGUGAAUGAACAAGAUAUCAGUAAAUUGUUCUAUCUCCAAGCCAUUGUUAAAGAGAUAUUAUAGUUAUAUCCACCACGACCACUUGCAGGGCCACGCCAAUUCACUGAGGACUGCACCUUGGAUGGUUACCAUGUCUCUAAAGGCACCCGAUUAAUAUUGAACAUUUCCAAAAUCCAAAAGGAUCCAAGAAUUUGGUCAAAUCCAAUAGAAUUCCAAUAAGAGAGGUUUCUCACCACCCAUACGGACCUUGAUCCUCGGGGAAAAUAUUUUGAAUUUAUACCCCCAUUUGGCGCCAAUAGAAAAGCAUGUCCUAGAAUGACUUUUGGUCUUCAAAUGCUACAUUUAACGUUGGCCAAUUUUUUACAAGUGUUUGACUUUUCAACUGCGUCAAAUGCACAUAUUGAUAUGCAUGAGAGUCUUGGACUUACAAACAUGAAAUCUACCCCACUUGAAGUACUCAUUUCCCUACACUUGUCUUCUUGUAAUCUUUACAACUAAAACAUUGAAACAAAAAGGUCAAAGUCGGCAUAGCUAGCUAGUCUUAGUUUGAAGACGUUAGCUUCAGUCAAUCUACAAUAAGAUUUAGAAGUGUAUUAAAAGUAGGUUGGACUUGAUACUUUUAAGGAAUGCGAUGCUAAUUCUAUUUGAAUGGGUAAUGAUUCAGACUCUAAAAUCAUUAGGAUUUAAAUCAUAAAGGUGAGGAUAUUUUAUGGUAUUAUAAGGAUGUUGAGUAAUGUUAAGCAUGUUCCCAAGUCGAGGAGGAGUUUAAAUUUCUUUAAGGGCUUUGGACACUUUGGGUUGUGAUUUUUUUGUGAAGCAUAGUAUUAUGGGUAUCAAUAAAGUGCUUUGACAACUAUGAAAAGGAAAAAAGUGAAAAAUUUAUACACCUUAAUCAAUAAGACAACUUAUAGGUGGAGUUCUAAAGGAGUCAUGUUAACAGAAAGAAGGAAUGACACGUAUUUAUUCUUCAUAAUUAUGUAUAAUUAAGAGAUUUGAGUCAAUGCAUGUGGAGAUUAUUGGUAUUUGAAUCUAAUUAUUUAUUUUUUAUUUUUGAAAAAGUCAAUAUUUAUAAAGUCUAUGUUUUACUAAAUUACCCUUUUGAAUUUGACUAAGAUCAGGAAACUAUUGAUUUAGGGUUAAUUCACAUGAUUUUACAAAUAUGUGGUUUUAAAUAAGAUUUAUACUAAAAAGGAAAAAAAAAAUAAGAAAAGAGGAAAACUUAAAUAGGUAAAUAGUCUAUUGAGUUUUGGAUGGAGAAAUGUUGAGAGAAUUUGAAGAUUUUCUUUGUGAAGCAUAUUAAUAAAUUUUAUCUUCCUUUCCCAGGUCUUUUCUAUUUAUUUUAUUUUUCCUGCUCAAUUUGAGUGUUUCAAUUUUUCCAGAACAUGGACAGUACAAAUGGCCAGAUGUUUCAUAUACGGUGCAUGUCAUAAAGUCGCCGCCUUCAGCUUGGCAAGAAAUCAAGCGAAACUGGACUUGAACUUGUCAUUCUUAAGGAAAUAAGCGCCAGCUAGGGUUCAAAUUUUAUGAUGUGAGCAUGCAACACUUAUCCCAAUCCACUGUUCUACUAAUAGGAUGUAGAAGACAACAAGCAAUUGUAGGAGCUUAUCUUUUUUUAUUUUUAUCAAGGUAGUUUCUGAAAGGAUGUGGAUCAACAUCGAUCUGUAGUGAUCCCUAGAAGGCUCCACUGUUCUAAUAAUAGGAUGUAGAAGACAGCAAGCAAUUGUAAGAGCUUAUCUUUUUUUCUUUUUUUUUUAUCAAGGCAGUUUCUGAAAGGAUGUGGAUCAACAUCGAUCUGUAGUGAUCCCUAGAAGGCUCCACUGUUCUAAUAAUAGGAUGUAGAAGACAGCAAGCAAUUGUAGGAGCUUAUCUUUUUUUUUUUUUUUUUUAUCAAGGCAGUUUCUGAAAAGAUGUGGAUCAACAUCGAUCUGUAGUGAUCCCUAGAAAGGCUGUUUUCUAAAUAUAGUAUUAUAAUAAAAAUAACGUUUGCCGAAAUUAAUAACGUUUGGAUAUGUUACAUGAGAGAAACAAACACGAGUACUCCUUGUAGUACAUGAGAAACCAUAUAUAUAUAUAUAUAUGCUUGAACGGGGGAGCUACCCACAGUUUAACCACAGUGAUCCAAUAACGACAUUCUGAGCUACAAUGGAUUUCCUUCUCCAAUGCCUAAACCCUGUCAUGGUUGGAGCGUUUGCAAUACUCGUCCUCUCAUACCACCUGUUAUUAUGGAGGUCUGGAGCUGGUAAGAGCAGAAUGGCACCUGAAGCUUCUGGUGCAUGGCCCAUAAUAGGUCACCUGCACCUGUUAGGUGGAUCUAAGAAUUUGCCUCACUUACUUUUUGGAACCAUGGCCGACAAGUAUGGACCAGUAUUCAGCAUCCGGCUGGGAUUAAAAAGAGCUGUGGUUGUGAGUAGUUGGGAAAUGGCCAAAGAAUGCUUCAC
rnacentral:lncRNA from 1 species